AGUAACAUAAGGUUCAUUAUGGGGAAAACUCUUACUACUAGUAACAUUUUUUUUAAAGUGCUCGAAUCCAAGAUUUUCAUACAUUUUGUCAUAUCCAUGAGUUAUUUUUUCUCAGUUGUAUCUAUAUGUUAUUGGUUUUUAUCCAAAGAUUCUGGGAAAUCAACUUUCUACAUGUUAUGUUUAAAAUCAUAAGAUAGAAGGAUAUUUUGGUACAUUCUACACAUCUUUAGGGUAAGAUCACAUGAUUCAGAAGUCUUCUUUACUUUCUUAAACUGUGUGUCAAGUCAAAAAAUAAACAAAUUGAAACGAUAGAGUACCUCUAUUCACUAACGUGCUUAGGAGUUUCAAAUGUAUUAUGUCGUCAUAAUUUUAAAUUGAAAAAACCGCGAUUUCAUAAAUAAAAAUCAUCCUUCAUAAUUUGUUAUUAGCAGGACUGGGAGCGGCAUGGAAGGUUGCAGAAGUUGAAGAAGGUUCAACUGUGGCAAUAUUUGGUCUUGGAGCUGUGGGACUAGCGGUAACUAUAUUAGAAUAGUUUAAUAGACAUCUCUACUUGUUCGAUUUCACAUCUCGAGCCAUACAAAGUUUCAAUCAGACACUUCAACUCAAUUAAUACACAUGUUAUAAUGUGUAACAGGUUGCGGAAGGAGCAAGGUUACGUGGAGCUUCAAAAAUUAUAGGUGUUGAUUUAAAUCCUGAAAAAUUUGAAAUUGGUACGUAUUAUAUUACUUGCUUAAUCAUAUAUACUUCAUAUAUCCCACAUAUAAAACUAAAAUAAGAAAAUAAAAGAAGAGAUUAUUAAUUGUUAUUGAAAGGGAUUUCAAAUGUAUGUAUUAUAAUGAUCAGGGAAGAAGUUUGGAGUAACAGAUUUUAUUAACCCUACAACUUGUGGUGAGAAAUCCACUAGCCAGGUUUGUUUAAUUAUAUAUUUAUAUAUUCAAUAAGUAAUUGAUUUACGAAUUAAUUUGUAUUAUUCAAUAAUUAAUUGAUUAAUUGUGACAGGUAAUAAAAGAGAUGACUGAUGAUGGAGCUGACUAUUGCUUUGAGUGUAUUGGAUUGACCUCCUUAAUGCAAGAUGCUUUUACUAGUUCUCGCAAGGUUUAAUUUUCUUCAAACUUUUCGGCUUCACAAAAAUUAUUUGUCGCUUCAAAUUAUCUCUCGUGUUUUCUAAAAUAGUUAUCUAAAAUUAUUUAUCAUUUUAAAAGUUUGAACAAAAGUCAUUAUUGAUCUUUUUUUCAUUUUACCCUUAGUAAUAGUUUUUGAAGACUACAAACACAUCAAUUAAGAGAAGAUGACACAGAUAGUGUAAAUAUCAAAUGAAGAGAGAUUAUAUCUUAAGAUAUAAAUAAGGAUAAUAAAGUCGAAACCCUUCUUAAUUACGUACUAUAUUUUAUGUGCUUUACUUACCUACAUAUAAAUUGAUACUUGAGAACACACACAAAAGUUUUUUCAAAAUUUGAGCGAAAAGUGUUUAAUAAGAACAGUUUAUCAUGUAUUCAAGUGAGAAUAUACCGUAUUUCAAGCAUUUAAAUGAAAUAUGUACGUCUACAAUAUUGUAGGAUACUGGAAAAACUAUAUUACUUGGAAUUGAGAUGCAUGGUACACCAUUAAGCAUUAGCCCUCUUGAGCUGGUGGCUGCUGGAAAAACUAUCACAGGAUCCAUGUUUGGUGGUGUCAAAGCUAAAGUUGACAUUCCCAUCUUUGCUAAUCAAUAUUUGAAUAAUGUAAGUUUCCUUAAUUAUGAUUGGGCUGGGAGGCCCCAAGUAGACGAUCAACAUUGGAUGUCACUUAUGAAACUUGUUUUUUAUACUUUACCAUGGAAGUUAUUUUCUUAGAAAAGAUAUUUUCUAAAAUAUUCUAACUAAUAAAAUUAACAUGGAAAAUUGAAAAAUAUUAGUAUAAGGUAAUAUUUUAUUCCAUACUAGAUACACCCUAUGACAUGUGAUGCUUUUGUUUUUUGGUAUGUUGGGCAGGAAUUGAACUUGGAUGGAUUCAUAACGCAUGAAGUAAGCUUUGAGGAUAUUAACAAAGCAUUUGACUUACUUGAAGCAAGGAAAUCACUGCGUUGUAUAAUUUGGAUGGACAAAUGAUACAUGCCAUCCUCUUUUUAUAUAUAUAUAAACUCUUUAUAUACUGCAAGGGAAAAUUAAUAAUGUAUUCAUGGGAUAUUUUACUGUCCAAUUACUGAAUAUUUGUAUCAAAACUCAUUUUCUGAUUUAUGAAGAUUCAUUACUUAUACACUAGUCAUACAUUCCUUAACAAAUGUUACAAAUCCUCGGACUAAUUAGAAGUUUUUAUUUCUCAACAUUAUAGAGAAUUAAACUCUAUAGGAAUUGAACUUCAAUUAAAUUGUUGAUAUGAUUAAAGGUUUGUCCCAUGGAGUAAGCGAUAGUCAAAAGUUCAAUGGGUAAAUUUCCUAAUUUCUUGAACGAGGGAACAAUAGACCCAGUUUUAAAUAGAGUCGGAUUGAAUGAUUUACAACAAUGUCUUAUUUUUAAGUCACCAUUUGAAUUGUAUUUUUUUUAUUUUAAAAAGUUGUGUAAAUAUAGUGUUUGAAAAAUAACCUUUUUAGACAACAUUAGACUAGAAUAUUCUAUAAUAUUUGUUCAUAUAUUAUUCAGUUUUACAGUAACAAUAUCAAGAGACUAUUGGUCAAUGUUUGCAAUAAUUUACUUUUUUCAUAAUUGUUUUAAUUUUCAAAUCGUGAUUUAAAAAAUUCAUAAGUUACUAGCGCGAGAGAGAAAAGGUCAUCUACUAAACAGAUUUCAGACGAGACAAAUUAGGCUGAUUUGCUGUGCCCACUCACAGCCCAAUAACGACAGAGACUUCAAGGCCCAUGGGCUUCACCUCGAGAUGUGAGCCUUUUCAAACGGCAGAUCAGAUGCUUCCCCAUUUUCUCUCGCCAUCGCUCCCAUAGACUCAAUACUGACGAACUGAACAUUCUACCAGAAAACCUACCUUAGCUAUUGUCUUGGUCUAAGUUUAGCCCAUCGGCCGCCGUCGCAGCUGAGUUCAGCCAUGACCGCAGUCGAAACCUCAAAUGUUGCAUCCUUAUCUGAGGUAAAUAGCAACUACUACUCCAAUUUUCAUCUUUCGAUUUGGUUUGCGUUUUCUUAUUAUAAUUGAUUAUCUUUGUUCGUAAUUUGUUUUUUGAAAUACUUGUGAUGUAUUUGUAUUCAUUAUGAUGUUUUGAAUCUGGCAAAAAAGAGGAUCGCACGAGCUCGAUCUUCAAUUUGGCUUUAGUUUUGUGAAUGAGAAUUUAUUUAUUUAUUAUUGAAUAAAGGCGUCAGUUUUGGAGAAAGAAAAUAGGAGAAAUAUAAGGAAGAUGUUAUUCUCCAGUAUUGUGAUUUUACUAGGAGUAGUUCUGAUUUAUAAGAAUUUCAUUAUGUUGAGAAUUGCUUGAGUCGUUUCUUAUCUGUUAAUGAGAUUUUGAUUUACGCGAGCAGUUGAUGGAACUUGAAAGGUGUAAGGAGUUAAAGAUCUGUGUGUAACCAAUUUGUUUGAGCAUAUUGUAAGUUAAAUUUCCAUAAUAAAGUUGUGUUUACUUUUGCUUUGAAUUUCUUCACCAAAGGAUAAUUCUGAUCAGAAGUGAUUGAAUUACUAUUGAAGUCAAUCCUGAAGUAAAGCAUUAGUGAAUACAUAGGAUUGUGCUUAAACUAAGUAAUGAACAACCUUAUCAGCUCCUGCUUCCUGCUGCGGGGCGUCUAGCUUGCUCUGGUUGGGUUAAGAGGUACACAUUGCUUGGUAAUAUGUAUCCUCUACUGCCAGGAUGUUGGACCUUAAAUAGGACAACAAGGAGAACUGAAGCAUACUAGAGAAGAGUCCUACUAACAAAAAGCAAAAGGACCCAUCUUUAUCCACAUGUUUUCUCUCUUUUCCAUCUUUUAAUUUAGAUUCGUAAAAUGUGAUCCUUCUCGCAUGGUUCCCUCAAUGGCUCACCCUACAAAGUGCACACCUUUUUGAAAUUGCUUGCUCCUCGCGUCAUUGUUUUGUUGGAGCGGCUCUUUGCAUUGAUCAUCAGGUAGAGAAAUGUGUACUAACAUCUUUUUUUCACCUAGUUGGGAGCUUCUAUUUCUUUAACUCUUCCAUAUUGACAUGAGGAUUUAAUGCUAUAAUCACGUCGUUGACUUUCUUAUCUAAAAAUUUCAGCGCAUUAUACUAGUCUUUGGAUUACUAUUUUGCAUUGAGUUUUUCUUUGCCUUUGAUAGAGUUUUUUUCCUACAAAUGACAAAUUUUGCCCUAUUCAUGGAUUUGCAGCAAUACUUACUGAAAGACCACGAAGAGAAAUCCCCCAUGACUGCAAAACCGGUGGAAGAAACUGAGGUUAAGGCCCCUUCAGCUGCUCCAGCUGAAGAAGUUAUUUCCAAAACUGAGGAGACUCCAGUGGUUGAGAGCAUCAAAAUUGCCCCUGCACCUGAGGAAAGCAGUGAAGCUGUAACUGAAUCAGCUGAAGCCUCUCCUCCUGUGGAGGCUUCCAGUGAGGAAAGCAGUGAAAGUACUGAAGAUGAGACCUCAGGAGAUCAGGAGUCUGCUGUUGAAACCCCUGAGAUUAAGGUUAGAUUAAGUUAACCAUCAAUCUGGACUCCAUCUUACUAGCCAAUAGCAUAUGCAUUGACUGUCUUCUGUUGUUUAUAUUAUGAUUGGCAAUCAGCUUGAGACAGCACCUGCUGACUUCCGCUUUCCUACUACAAAUCAGACGAGGCACUGCUUUACAAGAUAUGUUGAGUAUCAUCGGUCAGUAUUCACAGCUAUUUACAAUCUAUUCCUCUUUUCUGUUUCUUUCUGUGUAUUAUUUUAAUCAAAUAAGAAAAUCUCGCUUACAUAUCACUGGUUUGUCUUUCAGGUGCACAGCUGCAAAGGGUGAAGGUGCACCUGAGUGUGACAAGUUUGCCAAGUACUACCGAUCCCUUUGCCCUGGUGAAUGGGUAUGUUUGUUUUAAAGUUUUAGACCAUAUUUAUAUGAUUUUGCUAGUAUGCUAAGUAAUCUUGAUUUCCAUGUUUUACUAAGCUUUUGGCAAACGUGGGAUAUAUUACAUUGUGGACAUACACUAAUGAGACGGAAUUCAUGUUUAGUAUUGGAUGGAUAGAUUCAAGAAUAAUAUGGGUUUGAGCCUAUGAAUUUGAAAUUGAUAGAAAUUAUUAUCACUGGGGUCGUUUGGCUAAUGAACAAGUACUAUUGGAAUUGUAAUGCAGAGGAUCAUAUGAUUUUUUAGUGCAAAAUACAUUACUUUUAAAUGCUCGCUUCAUCGUAGUAAAAUUAGAUAAUAUAUGGUGUAUAAGUAGAAAGUGUGUUUAGUUUUAAACUGAAUAAAAUUGUUUACAGUCAUAUCCUUGGCCUUUUUAAUAGUUUGUGUAGCAAAUGGAUAAUGUUACAAGAUCCAGUCAGAUAUACUUACCUAACAUGAGUACAAAUUUAAAUUUCAAAAUUAAAAAGAAAAUAUUGAAAAGGAUAAUGUUUACAGAAGAUUGAGCAGCAAACAACUACACUCUCUAUCUCUCGUUGAUGCAAUAAAUUUUAGGAAAAGGAUUGACAUCAGUGUAAGCUGAAGUUCUGUAAAUUAACGGCAGAGCCACUACAAACAUGCGAAAGCGAAGUAAUACUCCUAGUUAAUAGAAGGAGGGCAUGGUAAAGUUGAUUGAUGCUAGGUUGGUAGCGAGGGAGGGAGUUGACAAAAUAAGGAAAAACACGAGAGACAAUUGACUUAUGCUAAAAUUGAGCAAAAGAGAUGUCUAUCGUGAAUUAGAGACAACAAAACAAGUGAAUCUGGGGAAUAAAGGAGAGCAUGAUUGACACUUGUUACAGACUGUUGGCAAAAUCCAAAUUGGGAGGGGGUCGAAAGGAAGGAGGAAGCAGUUAUAGACCUGCUCACAUUAUCUCUGUAUAGAGGAAGAUGGAUACUCUUCUAUCUUUGAUAUCAAAGGGAGCCAAGCAGUGCCAAUAGCUGGGCGCAUGAUUGGAGAUGACACUCUUGGAGAAAAUUUCAUAUAGCAUGAAAUGGGAACCUACAUCCAUUGGCAUUUGAGUUUACUCUUACAAUCUUUUUGUUUAAACUGUAGGAAAGGACUAGGACUUGUGGUUUUGAAAUCCCUAUGGCCAUCCAAAGAGGCCCAAUAUGUCAUCCUAGUUAAAAAUGUUAGGAGGCAGUCAGGUAAUAUGGCAGCAAAAUGACAUCCUAACCACAGCCACACAAUAUUACUUGAAGAAGAUGCUUUUGUCUCGAUCAAAUAUACAUUCUGGAAGCUAGUGGUGAAGAGUGGGAAUUAAAUGAUGUUAGCAGUGGUUUCUGGUGUUUAUUAUGGCUGGGGCAUUGUUGUCAGCAAUUGAUAGUCAUGAAAUUACUAGUAGAACUGCCCCCAAGGCCUAGCUCAAGUGGCAAAAGGUGGAGGUUUUGUGGCUUAGGUCGCAGGUUCAAGCCCCACACCAUGCAAAGCAAAGCCCGGUAUUUAAGUGGAGAAGGGUAGAGGGGCGGGCCCAUUAUCCACCGAGUUUAGAAGGCUGUGAUUGGUCCAAAGGGUGGGUCACAGACGGAUUUCUCGGUUAUCAAAAAAAAAAAAACUACUAGUAGAACUUGAUCUGUCUUGGUUGCUAGUUCGUUUAAUGGUUCAACUGCUCAGGGGUAGCAGAGUAGUGAAACAGUAUAUGAUUGUUCCGAUCUAGACACACAAUGAAGCAGUAUUUGGUUGGUUGUUUCCACAACUUUUUCACAAAGGAAUCAUCUACUACAUAAUGAUAAUCCCUUCUUCUGUAUACCAUCUUGUGGUAAACAAGCACCUUUAGUUGCCACUUGUAAGUGAAGUUAGCAAUUUAUGUAUCCUCCGGGGUAGUGAUUGUGGUGGGCAUGGCUGAAAUGUGCAGUAUUGAAAAGUUUACAGCUACGAUCUAAAGUACAAAUCCAAUCAGAGCCAGGAUCAAAUGUUUGAGUGUGGACUAGUAAGGACUAGCCAAAAGAAAAACCAGCUGUGUAUGUGUGUUUUCCAGGAGACCAAAUCAGUUCUUAAUAGACUGUUUUAAUGGUUAACAUGUGAUAUCUUCGUAACUCGUUAACUUUCUGGUGGUGAUUACUUUUUUAUUACAUGCCGUUAACACUUUCAUGUGUUCUUCGUUGCUUUUGAUUAUGACUGCAGGUUGACAGAUGGAAUGAGCAGAGAGAGAAUGGAACCUUCCCUGGACCAUUAUAAAUUGCAGUACCCAAAUUGUUCUCGUCCUUGCUGCAUCUGAAUUCUCAAAUGAAUGGGAGCUCCAUUUUUGUUAUUAAUAAAAUUUGGCGUGCUUAUUGGAUCUAGCUCAAGCCUUCAAUGAGUUUGCCGUUACAACAAAGUUAUUUUGGAUCAUCACUUCAGUUAUCCUCUUCCUAAAUACAAUUUUAUGCAUCGAUUUCAUGUAGUUUAUCAGUGAUGAAUCAUCUAGUGGGGAACCUGUUGACAUUUUUAUAAAUGAUGUGAACUGAUCAUUACACAAAUAAUGCUUAUUUUCCUCUAUUUAGCUCCGUCCACGGGGCAUCUGCAGCCACGUAGCUCAUACCAAGUAUUUGCUCAUCGGGUUUAUAGUCAUGGUCUUCCUGGUUAUACGAAUAAGUUUAUUGUUUCAAUGUUUAACCAACGAAUGAAAUCUGCAUUUCUGAACGUGAAGUAUGCUCGAAUCAGUGUUAAGCUUUUUUACAAUUACUACAGUUAUCACCAUUAGUACAUGCACUCAGUGCUGCUCCCUCGUGAUUUUAGAGAACUCAUGAGAAUCAUUGCGUAAGUACCCUCGACAUGAUUAGACUUCGUGUAUUUCCUUGACGUUUGAGUAGGAGUAGAGAGGAUAACAGUACCUCACCAAACGAUGUAAACUUACAAUAGUUAAUUGAUUAUUGGGUGAGAAUGCAUGUUAAUGAGUCAUGUUAAGUAUUAAAAGUUUGUGCAAAUACAUAUCAUGCAUAUAUCAACUUGGUAUAAACACUGGGUAUGAGUAAGUUUUACUUGGGAUAAUUCCCUUGGCAAAUAACUGAUUGCCCCUGAGCUUUGCCUCUAUGGGCAGCAAUCUUGGUUUAUGCAACACCUUAGUCCGCCAAGUCUUCAAACAUUUGGGAAUUAGCAAGAACCAGAAAAUUCUUAGUGGGUAUCCAAAAUGAUCAAGAAUUACCAGGAUAGUAUCACCAGAGGAACACGUAACUAGCAGAAAAACAUGAUGAAAUUGGGGAUACGGUGUGAUGACACAGGUUAAAGUAAAUGUCAUAAUUAGACUGAACACACAGAAUAGACAACCAAAUUGGAGUGCAAACAGAAGGAACUCGAGAUACCAGAACGGCAGGACUUAAUGAAGGCGUCCCAUUUCUGAAUUCAAAACUAAUUAGAAUCAGGGACAGCAAUUGAAGCAAGAAGGUGCAGGAUAAAGUUUCUCACAAAGAUAGUUGCCACUCAUUAUUUUCAAAUUUACUGACGAAGAGGGAGAGAGACGACCAUCAUCUCUAUCCAGGUAUGAUCAUAGCUUCAUUCAUUCGUUGAACCUUGAGAAUCACCAUUAGCAUUGAGGUCUAUGAAUACAAGCUCAAUGUCAUUUGCAAACAGAGUUAAACCCUGCCACAUCCUUAAUUUUACAUCAAUCUUCCUAAAGGGCACCAAGUAUUCUUGAAUGGAACCCUGAAGGGCUCUGUGAGUUCAAUCUGUUGAACGUGGACCCUCCGUUAUAGAACAGAAAGAGAGUGGUAUAGAGAUCCACUAAGUAUGCUCAUACUAGAGGACAUCGUGGGUUAAAUCUAUAAAAUCCAAGAGAUCUUCUAAAAGCCAACUCAAACAUAGUCUCCCAUAACAGCCUGAAUAAGAUCUUGCUAAGUUCCACUCCAGAGGUAAUUCCUUACCUCUGAGUCGAAGCUACUCUGCACUAUUUUUUGCAGAUAACAUCAAAUAACAUAGUUAACUCAGGAGGAGCGGUUUGCGCGUCCGACCUAGUUGAAGAAGAGCUACUAAAGGAAAGGAAAAUAAUCAAGGAACCAUAAGCUAUCUCACCCCUAAACUCAAUUCCACCAAAUCCUUCCUUUUAAGCUACAAGUCUCAGCAACAGUCCAAUGAACUCAUAGUAACAUGACAGAGGAAGCAGUAAAUGCUAACCAAUCUUAUGGAGCAAGAUAUUGAAAUAAAAAAUCCAAAGAUGAUGAUACAAAAUAAAUUUCCAGUACCUAACAUUCAUCAAGAUCUACUUAUCUAUAUCCUCGUCUCGGAAACAACCAAGAUGAAAGAACUUCCUAGUUGCAGUUGCAGAAUUCUUUCCAUCAAGACUACAGAGUGACAAAGCAGGAACAACCCUAUCCCCUCAACUAGCCAAAUGUACAUUGGACUUGUGCUCGCAGAGAAUCCUUGAAAUUCUUAAAAACAAACCAGUAAAAUACAGUAGCAUUUAUCAAAAAUCGUUGUAUGCAUUACAAUGGCAUUUUAGACAACCUCCAUUACUCCAACACUUAUUAUUACUGUUAAGUGUCUUCACGAAAGUAUUUUUUUCCGAAUUCCUCCCUCAAGUAAAGAACACUAUCUUCUAAGAAACUCUACUGUUCUAGAAGCAGAUUAAAAAUCUUCAAAGUCUAAGAAACUGAUGUGAGGAGGAAAGAACUACAUCCAACUAAAGUAUUGGUUGAGAGGCUGAGAAAAUAGCUACAUCCAACUGCUCUAACGGUGUUCUUUUCUGACAUCCCUAGUCAUACAAGGAAACCAAUAUGUUUGUGGCCAUAUUGCACAGAAAGAUGCAUGGAAUUCAACCUUGAUAAAACUUCUAUACAUAAGCUGAUCCAAGAAGGAAGUUCACUCAAAGCUAAUUCAUAUAUCCUCACAUACCAACAUAAAUGACAGCAUCAAACUAGAAGCCCUUGAGUAACACCAACUAUGAUUCUGUUAACCCAUGAAUCAGCAAACUUAACAGGCAAACAUUCAAAUGCUAAAUAAGCAGCUGUAAUUACUAGAGAGUGAGACAAAUAUGGUUUAUAUCCAAAUAGCAAAUCACACAUAACAAGCUCCAAAAUAUGCUACUUGUAAAGACAAUGAGCUGAAACUACACAAAAUGAGAAAUUAACAGAACUACAAGCAGAAACAAACCUAAAAAGGAAGUUUGCCUUAAAAUAGUUUACUCUUUCUAGAUAUCAAUCCCAGAAGCAUUCAUAGCUUUGCGCAUUAGCUCCCCCUGCUCAGCAAUUAGAUUCACCCUCCUCAAGCACAAGCCAGCCUCAGCUACCUGCAAGGAUGUCGACUUUUUCUUAAUCUCAUCCAAUUUCUCAAUGCUAAGCAACCCAGAAAACUCUUCAAGCCACUUCUCCAGAGCAGCAACACUUCCCCCACACGAUGUCAAAUUCAAAUUAGGUGUAACCUCCACAGUCCUCUCCACCUCCGCACUCAGUUUCUCCUCCUUCACUACAUCCAAAACCCCAUUAUCUUCACCUCCACUGUUGCUUCGUCCCUUACUUGCAGUUACAUUCUCCACUUUAACAACUUCAACUGGAACUUUGUCAGUUUUCUCUUUACCCCAAACCUUUUGAGACAAUUCAUAGGCUUUUUGCUCGUGGGGCUUGGAGAAAGUCCUUUCCUUUCCCUUCUUCUCUUUCCCAGCAUUGUUUUCAUACUUCUUCUUCAAUCUCCUAAUCUUGUCUUGCAACUGGGCCUUAGACACAUCUACGUGCAAAGACUUUUUGAUGAAUUCAUGAAAUGCACUCAAAUCCGCAACUGGGUCGGCUUUUUUCUUCGACCUGUAAUCAGUCAUGCCCUUCAGGAUAGCAAUUUCGUCAUCUUCACUCCACAAUCUCUGAAACAGCUGCCUUUUCACGUCAUCAGUGGGCGUUUUCGACACUGGAGUUUCAAUCUGUUUCUCUGGUUUCUUCUUAGACCUCUUCGAUUCCUUAGCUUCACCGUCAUCCACCGGGCGUUUAGCUCCGACAACGGCAGUGGACUUCUUCGGAGAAGUGAGUUUUGCAGUAGCAUCUGCUUUGGAUUUAGGUUUCUUCUCAACGAUAGGCGCAGCUUUUUUCGGCUCAUCCAUGGGUUUGGAAGCUAUGGGUUUAACAACCGGGUUUGGUUUCUGUGUUUCGGGAUCCGGUUCGGACUCGGAAUCAGAUUCCUCUUCAGUAGAAGAAGAAGAAUCAUCCUGAGGUUGUGGCUUCUUUGGAGCGGAAACUGGUGGUUUUUUCGGGGGUUGCUCUUGUUCAGGUUCCGAUUCCGAUUCUGAUUCUGAUCCCGAUCCCGAUCCCGAUCCCGAUUCAGUAUCCGCGUUUCCCGGCGAAGAAACUUCCAUCUCCUCACCGGAUUCUUCUUCUUCUUCUUUCUCGGGACGAUUCUUAGCCAUUGGAGAGUGUAAGCGAUUAGGGCAAAAGAGUGUAGCUGCCUCCCUCUUUUCUAUUUUUUCUUUUAAAUCAAGUUCAAGUAUAAAGAUGGUGAUAAAUUAAAAGUUAAAUAAUUAAUAAGUGGGGAGGCCAUUGAGAAUUAAACACUUAUAUUUUCAAGGUUAGUCAAAUUAAAAUUAGUUCAAAAUUUAAAAAAAUACUAUUCCCUCCAUCCAAACCUUUUUUUAUAAGAGAUGUGCCCAUUCCGUUCAUUUUAUUUGUCAUAUGUUUUUCACAAUCCUUGAAGAUAAGGGGAAACUAAGUCAAUACCUCAUAAAAGUAAAAUAAUUACAAACAUAUACUCAUUUAUAUUCAUAUCCCACUAAAUAAUUACACUAUAUACCCCUAAUUGAUUUCGCUUAACUGAUACUGAAUCAGUAUCAUAUAUUGUAUUGGUAUCAUUAGGACUGAUAAUAUCAUAUAAUGUAUUGAUAUUAUUAAGGAUAAUAAUUUCACUUAAUUGAUACUAAAGCAGUAUAUAUAUAUUGUAUUGAAAUCAUUAAGGGUUUUUUGUUCAGAAAUUUCUCAUUUAUAGUAUCAUUGACUAAUGAGCAAUUUCUGAACAAGAAACCUUAAUGAUACCUAAAAUAUAUGUAUACUCUUAUAGUAUCAUUGAUGAAUGAGUAAUUUCUGAAGAAUAAACAUUAAUGAUACCACAACAAUAUAUAUAUAUAUAUAUAGUAUAUGAUACUGAGUAGGGGUGUUCAUGGUUUGGAUAAAAACUGAUCCAAACCGAAAAACCAAACCAAAUCGAUUAAAUGAACCGAUUUAAUUUGGGUUUUGGUUUGGUUUGGUUUUAGAUUGUUAAGAACCGAUAGUAUUUGGUUUGGUUAUGAUUUUGUUCGGAAAAAAUCAAAGAAAUAACCGAACCGAACCAACAAGUUAUAUAUAUAAAUUUUAUUAUUAUACAUACAUAAUAUAUUAUAUUCAUAAACAAUUUUAAAGAUUUUAUAUAUGUUUCAACAAAAUUUAUUUAUAAUUUACUUAUGAAAGAAAAAAUGUCCAAGGUGAGAACAUUUUUCUUAUUGGUUUCAUGUAUAUGAGUGUCUAUGAAAAUUCUUUGUGGGACUAAAAAUGUCAUUGUCUCUUCCUUCUAUGCCAAAAUAGUGAAUUUUGAAGUUUUAUUCAGUAAAUUCAAUGAUCCAAAGUUCUGUAAUGCCAGUCAUUCUAACUAUUUUUUUGUUUGAAUGGAUUGUUGGUCACUUUUUUUCACGUUUUUGAAUGAAUUGUUUAUUUUAUUUUAUGUAUGGUUAAUAACGAACCAACAAACCAAACCGAAAACAACCAAACCGAUAAAUGUAUAUUAUAUUUGGUUUGGUUUGGUUUUGAUAAUUUUUAAAAUCGAUUAAGUUGGUUUGGUUUGGUUUUGAUAAUUUUUAAAAUCGAUUAAGUUGGUUUGGUUUUGGUUUUGAUCUACCGACCCAAACCAAACCGUGAACACCCCUAAUACUGAGUAUCAGUCAAGCGAAAAUUAUCAGUUUUAAUGAAUAAGGGGUAUGGGUUGUAGUUAUUUAUGAGAUAAUGGGUAUUUCAUAAAUUACUUUGGGUUUGGGUUUGAACUUGUAACUAUUUUAGACUUUAUGACUCAUUUAUGUAGUUUUUCCUUGAUUAACCAUAAAUAUUUCAUAAUAAGUUGACCACCUUACUAAAUCAAAGAAUCGUUAGUUAUUUUUUUGCCUAUAUUAUCCUUAUAAUUAAUUCUUUUUAAAGUUUAUUUGUAAAAUUCUCAAAAAGUUUUUUAUUAUUUGUGAUUUCUCAAAUACCAUGUCAAAUGGAAAAUGAUCAACUAAUAUGGGACCAGAGGAAGUAGUUUCUUUUAUUCAAAUUUUAUGUCAUGUUUUCUUUUACAUGUUUAUCAAAAAAAUAUUAGCUAUGAGAUUAUUUUAUCGCUAAUUAUAUUUAAAAUAUUAUUUUUUUUAUCAUUGAAUAUUUGUUUUAUUUGAAUAAGAGGUGUUUGUAGUACAAAAAUAAUUACUCCAGAGGAUAAAAUAAAAAUAAUAAUUAACUUUAUCUUAAAUUUUGUAAGUGAUAAAUAAUUUGAGAUAAUUAUUACUUAAAGAUCACAAUAGACAAUUUGAGCGAAAAUAAAAUUACUUAAAGGAAUAAUUUGACUAAAUUAUCCUUUGAUCUCAAAUUAAUAUUAUUGCUAUCUUUUCCACACUUAUCGAUUAAAAGAUAGGAAAAAUAGUAAUGUUGGUCCUCAAAUAAUUAUCUUUUUGUGAUUUUGAUCCUUCUAUUAUACAACUUAACAAAUUUGACCUUCAACUAAUAAUUGCUAAAGUUUAUAGAUUUGAUGAUAACUGUCUAAAGCAACAUAUAUAUGUUCAUUCUCACCUAUCCUUUUACUUCUACCACUACUCAAUUGUUAUCUUUAAGGACUGAAUAUUUAAUUUACUUUCACAAUUGUUUUAUUGAUGAUUGGCAAUGUCGUAAUGUACCUAUUUUUACAUCUUCUUUGUACACGUCUAUUUAACUCUUCGUUUAUGUAGAAUCUGCUAAAUACUUUGUAUUCCUGAUCAAAAAAUUUAACAUUCAUUAGCUUUAAAGACCAAUUAACAUAUUUUAAUUAAUUAAAAGCUAAAUGCGCUAAGUCAUGUAAUAAGAAGAUUAAAAUCACAAUAAUAAGCCAAUAUCUUAAGGACUAAAAUUGUUAUUCCCCCCAAGUAUAAUACUUAGCGAAUACUAAUAGUAAUUAUAUUUAAUUUUCCAAAAUGACUAUUUUAGACCACGUAUCUUCAAUAGGGCAGUUCUGUUGACUAGUUGAAUUACUCCUAUAUAUUUAGGAUUGAUGGACGAACUAAAAUAAUUAACGACUGUACGAAUCAUAAAAUUUCAAAUAAGCUAUCAUUCAAUUAAAGAACAUGAUUAAAUACAUGCUUUUAGAAAGACUAGCAUAACUUUUUUGUUAUUUAUUCCAACCACAAAACAAUUCAAAUCCGUUUGGGUUUCCCAAGAGUAGAACCGAUAAGAUGUAAUUUUUUAUUUUUCAGACUCGUUAAUCGAUAACGUUUGAACAUUUCAAAUUUUAACAAGUCUCGAUUAGCUUUAGAAGUGCUCAUCUCGAAACAACUUUUGGCUUUCUCAAUUAAAAAAAAAAAGUUGUAAUUAAAAAAACAGUCAAUUUAACAAGCGUUCGAUUAAACAGUGCUUGGAAAGAAAGUUAAGGGGUACGACACCAGAAAAUCAAGCACAAUAAGCAAACCCUAGAGCAUCAACCAAGCGGCGUAAUUGAAAGGUUCUAAUGAUAUCGAAUUGAUAUCCCAAAACAGAAAUCCACCGAGCAUUGCUAUUAUAGCCGGUAGGGUUUCAAGCAACUUGCUGAAAUCAUAAUCAGGAGGAACAUUGAAUGUAUAUUGAGAAGAGAAAUACGAAUAAAAUGGACUAUAUAUUGUCAAAUAGCCAGUAAUCCACAACCAUCCAUAUCUAUUAACCUAUCAAAUAAGAAUAUCCUAAAGAACAAAGAAAAACAAACAGAAUUGCAAAAGAGGCUUUAGCAAUCUAAGCAACGACAAAGCAGGGCAUUCUAAGCCCUUUCUCCCCUAAUCCUUCUGGCAAGCUGGAUGUCCUUGGGCAUGAUUGUAACACGCUUGGCGUGAAUGGCACACAGAUUUGUAUCUUCAAAGAGCCCAACAAGGUAAGCCUCAGCUGCCUCUUGCAAGGCCAACACAGCAUGGCUCUGGAAACGCAAAUCAGUCUUGAAGUCUUGAGCAAUUUCACGAACAAGCCUCUGGAAUGGCAAUUUCCUGAUCAAAAGCUCAGUACUCUUCUGGUACUUGCGGAUUUCACGAAGAGCAACGGUUCCAGGCCUGUAUCUGUGAGGCUUCUUGACUCCUCCAGUGGUUGGGGCAGAUUUCCUAGCGGCCUUGGUGGCAAGUUGCUUCCUUGGAGCCUUUCCUCCAGUAGAUUUACGAGCAGUUUGCUUAGUACGAGCCAUCUGACUUUCUGCAAAUAAUAAUUAUCUUCGGUUAAUCCCAAGAAAUUCAUGAAUUUGAGCAUAUGAAAUUAAAUCUCGAAACCUAGGGUUCAUGUACUCUAGAUUUGGAUCGACAUACAAAUUCAACACACACAAAGAGAACAAUUCAUCAUAAUUUCAGAUCUUAGAAGAACAAGAAAAAAGAAACCCAGUUAUGCGAAGCUAAUCCUAAGAAUCCCCAAAUCAAAACCCUAAGAUUUCAAAUUUGAAAAAUAAAAAGAUUUUCACAAUUGAAAUUUAGAAAUCAUGAUUGAAAUUAAAAAUUAAACGAACUUUGAUGAAUAAUAAAGAAGAGAAACAAGAACUCGAACCUUAAAAUUGCUUGAAGUUGAAGGCUUCUAAAAAAGCUUGAAAAAUCUGAAAGAUGAAGAAGUACUUUAUCGGUUUUGAGUAAACGUGGAUUGAGAGAGUUGUGUUGAUGCUAUUUAUAGAACGUGUGAAAGCCGGGGUUGGUUAGGAUUUCUUUUACCGUGUGUGUUUUUUAGAAGUACGGUUCGACGGUUGAUAGUAGCUCUUUUUGUGUUUUCUGAGUAUCAAAUGAACGGUUGCGAUCUGCAGUUACUUUUCUGACACGAUCCGCGAGGACUUGUACUCGCUCUCUGAUUGGUUCUUAAUGUGUCACGAGGAUUGAAGAUUCAUUAAGUCGGUAAAUUUCCUCAUUGCGUUUUACAAACAUCCGGAUCCGGACCCUUUUGGAGUAUCGGGUUCUACAGCAUUAUUUUUAUGAUUAAUAAUCAUGCACUAUGAAGAAAAUUUCACUCAUAAUUCAUAAAGAGUAGGAAAAAUUGUGUGAAAUAGCAAAUUAUUAAUUCAAAUUAAAUGUUAUAGCCAUAGUUUAUUUUAAUUAUAAUUCGCAGCAAACAUCCCUUUUUUUGUCAUCUGAUUUGAUAUAUAAUUAGUCAUUUUCGAUAUACAAUUAGUCAUUUUAUACAUUUCGGUAUAAAUAUAUAAAAUGUGUUUGUGUUUUUAUAAAGCGAGAGAAAAGUGUAUAUACAAAUACACAUAUUUUCAUCUAUACACUUAUAAUUAUAUAAAUACAGAUCUUAUUAUACAAAUUACAAUGUAUAAAUGAAUUUAUACAAAACUGAACAAUUUGUAUAAAAUUAGAUGUUUGUAGCGAAUUAUACAAAUCAAAAGCUCCAUAGCAAACAUAAAAUUUGCUACAGAGCGCAAUUAUGCAAAUUAUAGUUAUAACAUACAAAUAAGAAUUUUAUGUUUGCUAUAUGUGAAAGUUGCUCUAAAGAGUAUUUGAAUGGAUUAUGGAUUCAUUCAUUUAUUGUAUACUUCUACAUAGGGUGUUUACGAUUUGGAUAAAUAUCGAUCCAAAUUGAAAAAUCGAACCAAAUUGAUAAAAUAAAUUGAUUUUAUUUGGGUUGGGUUUGGUUUGAUUUGAUUUUAAAUUUUUGAAAAUCGAUAGUAUUUGGCUUGGUUGUGAUUUUAUUCGAAAAAAUUCUAAUGAAUAACUAAACUGAACCGACAAAUUAUAUACAUAUAUUUUAUUAUUAUACAUACAUAAUUUAUUAUUUUUAUGAUCAACUUUGAAGAUGUUAUGUAUGUUUUUAUCAAAAUUUAUUUAUAAUUUACUUAUGAAAGUAAAAAUAUCUAAGGUGAGAACAUCUAUCUAAUUGUUUAUGUUUUGACUGAAUUGUUUCAAGUUAUCAUGGACAUAACCUUAAAUAGGAUAGAGGACACGUAUUAGGACAAAUUAUUAGUAGGUAGUGUAGUGUUGUCUUGCUUAGGGUGGUUGGUGUUUGCCAUUGUACUGGUUAUAUUAUUGUAGUUACAAUAAUCUAUCUUAGUAUGUUAUUUAGUGAGCUUCAGUUAUCGCACUAUUUUAUUGUUACUUUCUAUAUUUUCUUCGUUGUCUCCUUCUUCUUUGUACUUGAAUUUGUUGCACUUGAGCCGAUUAACUUUCAAAAACAAUCUUAUACCUUUACGAGAUAGUGAUAAUAUUUACAUAUAUUUUAUCCUCCGCACAAGUUUUGUUUAUGAGAUUUCAGUAGGUAUUGUUAUUGUUGAACCCUACAAAUAGUGCUUGAAAAUGGAUUAUUUGGUAAUUAAAAAUGAUAAAUAAGUAAUGAAUUGACAAAUUUACCGUUUGACUUGCUAAAAUUGCUCUUGAAUUUUGAGAAGGGUGGUCAGUAUUCUGAUAAAUAAUACUACCGUAUUCUUCAAAAUCAAGAAUCUUUACCAAUUACCAUUAAUACAUGCAUCUAUCCUCUUAAGCUCAAAUUAAGUAAUUCCUAAGCCUUAAAUCAUCUCAAAUAGAGUUGAAUUUUCACUUUCACUGAACUUUUAUCCACACAACUUCAUUUUCAAUCCUUCUCAAACCAUCAAUAAUAAUGUCAAAACUUCAUAACAAUGUCAUGACUCAUGAUGUUGAAACCAAUCUUAAAAAUAUUAUUUAUUUUUGGGACAAGGGUCAAAAAUACCCCUCAACUUUGUUUUAUUGGUUGACUAAACCCUUACCGUUAAAAAGAAGUUAGUUUUACCCCUGCCGUUUACAAACUCAUCAUAUGUACCCUCCAAAUUAACGAUUUGCCCCAAAUCAAUCUCAAAUUCUCAAUUUCGACCCGAAUUACCCAUUUAAAACUCAUUUAGAAUGAAAUUCUUUUCUAAUCUGAUCCGACCCAUAUAAAACCCACCACCAUUAUAAACAAAAUUUAAUUUAAUUUUCAAUUUUCUCAAUCUUGUUGAGUCCACCAAAACUAAAAAGAAUGGAUUUCUCCCUUGUCAUUGAAUUUGUUGUAGUGUUACUCAUUCUGUAAAUAUUUUCAAAGCCAUUGUUAAAAGCUUCUAAGGGUACUAAUUUUUGAAUUGGAGCCUGAAACUUGAAGAACCAACCAUGGAAACUUCAUAGCCAUUAAUGGAGCUUGGAGCUUGAGUUUGAAUUUCGGAUUUUACAAGCGAGUUCCAACUUCGAAAAAUCAAUAAUUUCAACUUCUUCCCCAAAAUACCCAAAUCGAAAACAUCACACCCAUUUCUUCACACUGAAAUCACAGAUCUGAAUUUGUGUAAUAAAUUAGAUAAUUCCCACCCAAAAUUGCAGCAGCAUGAACUUUUUAGUUUCUUUCUUGUUGUUGUUUUCUGGUGGAAUUCGACCGCCUAGUACUGCCUUUUCGCCGUCGUGUGCGGCGGAUUUGAAGAACUAGUGAAUAUAUCUAUACAAGUGACUUUUGGGGAAGAAGGUUAUUGGAUUAUUUCAAUAGCAAUAUUGUUCUUAUUUUUGUGUAUGAACAUAAGGCUGGCAUGUCUUCUUCCUCUGCUUUUGCUCCUAACAUUGCUUCUUAAAAGCUCAUUAAUGGCUGGAAAUUUAUUUGUUCAUUAGGAAUUGAAAUGGGUUUUGGUGAAUUCAUUACUUUUUUUUUAUACAUUUGGUAUGUAAGAUCAGAUUAAAUGGGUUAUGGGUCGGAUUUAAUUGAUAAUUUGUUUUUAAAGGGAUAAUUCGGGUCGAAGUUGAGAAUUUGGAAUUGAUUUGGGGAAAUCGUUAAUUUGGAGGGUACAUAUGAUGAGUUUGUAGACGGCAGGGGUAAAACUAACCUCGUUUUAACGGUAAGGGUUUAGUCAACCAAUAAAAUAAAGUUGAGGGGUAUUUUUGACCCUUCUUCCUCUGCUUUUGCUCCUAACAUUGCUUCUUAAAAGCUCAUUAAUGGCUGGAAAUUUAUUUGUUCAUUAGGAAUUGAAAUGGGUUUUGGUGAAUUCAUUACUUUUUUUUUUAUACAUUUGGUAUGUAAGAUCAGAUUAAAUGGGUUAUGGGUCGGAUUUAAUUGAUAAAUUGUUUUUAAAGGGAUAAUUCGGGUCGAAGUUGAGAAUUUGGAAUUGAUUUGGGGAAAUCGUUAAUUUGGAGGGUACAUAUGAUGAGUUUGUAGACGGCAGGGGUAAAACUAACCUCGUUUUAACGGUAAGGGUUUAGUCAACCAAUAAAACAAAGUUGAGGGGUAUUUUUGACCAUUUUCCCUUUAUUUUUUAAAUUGUUUGCAUCAAUAUUUUCAUAAUUAAAGGGACAUUAUUUAAGGAUGACCAUUUUAUCUAUGAUAGAGAUAAUGAGAAUAUAAAAAAUAAUAUACUCGCUUCGUUUCAAAAAGAAUGAUCUCAUUUCCUUUUUAGUCUGUUUAAAAAAAAAUGACUCAUUUCCUUUUUUGGCAACACUUUAACUUCAACUUUCCACAUGACAUAUUAAAGGCCACAAGAUUAAAGAACAUUUUGGUACAUUUCACAUAACUUUAAUUUAGAACCACAAGAAUAAAAGUCUUCUUUCUUUUCUUAAACUCCGUUCCAAGUCAAACUAGGACAUUUUUUUUGAAAAGGAGAGAGUAUUAGAAAUCAUUCAAAUGAUAGCUUUUUGAUGAAAUUCUAAUGUGUCUUUUCGUGAGUAGUGUCAUAAUGGUAAAGUGGUGACACAGUAACAAUAAUUUUCAACUAGUAUUUUUGAAAGUGAGAACAAAUAAUUGUUAACAAUAAUGAUUGAUUUAGAGCAAUGUUGGAUGGUAGUUGAGAAAAUGAACCCGACACAGUUUGAAAAUUUUUAUGGUGGGAGAGGCACAACUUGGUAUGUGAGGCAUUAUUUUUUAAUUAAAAAAUACACAGGUCCAAUUACUCCUAUCCUUCUCAUUCUAUAUUGUUAUUUCUCUCUCCAACCUUUACUUCUCACCCCUCCUUUUUCUCAUUUCUUUCCUUUCACCUUUUUAUUUUUCUAAUUUCUUAAUCAGUUUUUCCAAUGGUUAAUUUUAUAGUUGAGAAUACAAGAAAAAAAUAUGGGAGGAAAUUGCAAAAUAAAAAUUAGAAUUUUCAUCUAUGAAAUGAAUAUUUAGAUAGUUAAUCAACUAAUCUAUUAAAAUAGUUUAUUUGAUAUGUAUAUAUACAUUUGAUUGGUUAGUUUUUUUUUUCACUGUCAAACCACAACGAAACAAUAAAAUCAAGUUUUUCAAUUUUCUCAGUUUUUUUUAAGUUCCAUUUGAAAUAUGCUACACUAAAUUAAAUUAAUUUUUAUGAAAUAUGACGCAAUUGUCACACUAUUUCAUACAAUUAUAUCUACUUCAAUUUAUUAUAAAUAAUUAUAUAAACACUAUCAUCUUUAACGCAUAAAAAGGAAACAAUAUUUUGUAUAUACAAAUAUUAAUAUAUAUAAUAUAUUUCCCCUUUUGUGGCAUUAUGGUUGAUAGUUUUUUUAUAUAACGGUUUUACAAUGAGUUAUAUUAAAUAAAUAAUAAUGGUACAAAAAUAGUAUGAUAUUUACAUUAUAUUUCAUAAAAAUAAAAUUCAUUUUAUUGUAAAAUGUUUCAAAUCAAGAUAAAAAAUAUUAAGAAAAUCGAAAAAUUUAAUUUCAUUAAUUUGGUAUGGUUUAUUAAUAUAAAAAUUAGAUGAAAUAAAUUCAAUUUGAUAAGUGAAAAUUAAUCAAUCAUGCUUAAAUACAUGUACCAAAAUGAGGGAUAUUAAUAGUUUAGUUGAUUGACUAUCUAGACUUUUAUUUCGUAGAUGAAGGUUUUAUUCUUCAUUUUGUAAUUUUCUCCACCAUUUUUAUGUAAUUUAAAAAAAUUUAAAAUAAUAUAUUUGUUAAUUAUCAAAUAUGAAAAAGAAAAAAUAUACGAAUGAUAUAAAUAAAAUUGACUAAAUAAAAUUCAUACCUUAAAAUUGAUCUGAAAUAUUAGAGGAAAGAAGAAUAAAAUAAUUUUUUUAUAAAAAAAAAGGGGCAAAGAAAAGAAAUGGACAAGUGAACAAAUGUGGAGUAAAAUGUAUGAGAAAAAGAAUAACAAUGUAAAAUAAAACAAAUAGGACCCACAUAAUUUUUUAUUCAUAAAUUAAGUAAGACAGGAGAGAGAAACAACAAUAUUGAAAAGGAAAGGUGAGACCUACAUAUUUUUUAAUUCAAAAAUAAUACCUCACAUACCAAGUCAUACUUGUGCCUCUCCCACCAUAAAUUUUUUCGACACAAUUCAACAAAUUUUACGAGCGUAUUUGGAUCAUUUCAGACCGUUUAACGACAAAUAUCUUUUUUUCAUUGAAUAGUAGGACAUGUGUUAAAAAUUAUUUGUCGUUACAGUAAGUACGUCGUAUUUGAACAAACUCAAUAGGGACAAACAUAUAUUUAACCUCAAUUACUAAUGAUUUCAAAUUCAAGCCAUUUCACAAUAUUGUUUUUUCCUUAUUUUUUUUAUAAUAGUAAAAAAAAUAAAAAAACAAACAACUAUAAUUUGGAGCAUAAUUAUCCUUAGUAGCCAUACUUUUUAAAAUUAUGACUUAUAGCUAAUGGCUUAAAACCAUAUCUGGUGCUUAAAUUUAUUGUUGGCUUAAGUCAUCGACGGCUCCUUAAAGUUGUCCGCAUAUUUCACUUAGACACCUCAACUAGGAUUAAUACCUAUUGAACAUUUUUGUCUAUUCAAAUCUUGUUCCUAUUAGACAUUUUUUGAUAAUAAGUGAAAAAUAUAAAAUGUGUGUGAUACACUCGCGAUGACGUGGCAAAAUAAUUAAUGAAAAAAUGACAUGUGGCAAGUGGGCCCCAAAAUUUAUGGAAGAAUGAUUUUUAUAUUAAAAAAAAAGUUUACUACAAAUACAUUUUCAAUCUUUUUAAUAUACAUAAAAACAUUGAAUAUAAUAACACAUUUUUACCCGGCCCCACACUACCCCCACCCCGUUCUUCUACCCUACGCCUUUCUUCUUCAUCUUCUUUCCGGCAACAUUUCUCUUCUUAAACCACUCUAUAUCUUCUCAAACUACUUGUAGACUCAAUUUUUUAAAAAAUAACAAGAAUUUUUCGUACCUAAUACGUGAGAGAAAGAUAUAAAGUGAGACUCGUACAAGAGUGAUGAAGAAGCGGAGUUUGUUAACGAAGUAAUUAUUUCAAAUCGGGUGCAAAGAGAAAUCAAGAGGACCCAAAUUAAUUUUAUCGAAUUCUUCGAUUUUAUUUUUUAUAAGUUAAAUGAGUUUAUAUUUUAAUUCGAAUGGUGAUGUUUGUUUGGAGGUGCUGGAAAUGGAGCUGGCGGCUACAUUUUUAUACUUCAAUGUCCAAUUAUUAUUUUUCCGGCAAAGCUAAUUAGUUGAUUUUCAUUACUCCAAUGUCCAAAAAUCUUGUUUCUUCUUUCUUUAGUAGAUCCAAUUAUUUGAUUUAAAAAAAAAUACACUGUAAGUUUGAUUUUGAAAAUAGGUGAAGAAGACGACUGAAAUUAGGGGGAGGGGAGGAAGGGGGUGGGGGAUUUUCCUUUUUUGGAUUAGUUUUUUUUUAAAUUAUUUACAAUGCCAAUUUUAAGUUUUUUCAAAAAAAUAAAUAAAUUAAAAUAUGAUUUCAAAUGUCUUCACGCGCUAAAAGAAGGUGAAAAAUACUUUUUCUGCCAUAUCAACAUUUUGUGUUUAAUAGGUACACUUUUUGAACAAUUUAGGUGUUCAAUAGGUAUUGUCCCUAGUUCAGGUGUCUAAAUGAAAUAUGCGGAUAACUUUAAGGGAACAUCGAUGACUUAAGCCUUAAUUGUUUUGUUGCUCAAAUUUCUCGUAUUUGUUCACUUAAAUUUGAUAUACAUAUUCACUCAAUUAUAUUGAUUGCUUAAUUCCAUUAGAUAUUAUUUUCUGCUCAAACCAAAUUGUAAAACAUAUAAUUUUGUUAGAUACACUGAAUUUGUACUUUAAUCAGUGAAUGUGAUUUUUAGUGUAGUGCAUUGUGUAUGUAUCGUAAACAGAUUUGUGAUACAUGUAUAUACCAUUCAUGUACAUUGUUGGAUGCAUACAUCAUUUCGUUUUAACUAUAUUUCAUUGAGCAUAUCAUUAUUGAUGUAAAGACAUAUUUUAUGCACACUUUUGACUGUACACAUUUUUUUUUUACUUUAUUUCAAUAAAUAUAUCACUAUUAACUGUUGAUAUCAACACAUGACCCAAUUAAGGCAAAAUAUAAAAAUAUAAUAGAUACAUAUAUCGAUAAUUGAAUUCAUAGAUAAAAAUAUGAAAUGCGUGCUAUGCAUCACUAUAUUCACGACAUCUGAUCGAUUGUAUUUUGUAUCAAUGCAUUCAUUACUAUAUUUCCAAUUAUAUAAAGCAACAUAAAGUGGUAAAGAGAAAAUUCGCAACAUUAUUGCCGUUAGUUAUGGUUCCAAGAUACAAGAACAUACGUCUGUUUUUAAGCUCAUGAAUACAAGUUGAUUGUUGAUAGAGUUUCAUCGGACAACUUCAAUUGUUCAUCUUCAAUGUUGUAUUUUUUUUGGAAAAAAUAAUCACAUUCAACUAAAAUUUACAUCAAUCCUCAAGUCUGAAGUAUGAAUUCAUUGUGAUAAACCCAAUCUUUUAAAAGAACACUUCACUUCAAAAUAAAUAAUAAUAAUAAUAAAAAAAAAGAUAUCCCCAUUAGUUUUAAAAUGGUAAUAAUAUAAAGAACCCUCCACCCCCUCUUUUUACACUUUUUCCAAGGAAUUCUUUUGUUGGGAAGAAGAGGAGGGACAUUAUCUUUGUUUGGUUGCAUUUCAUUUUUUUAAGGCUGUCAUCUUACAAAUAGGACACACAUUCUUCAGCAUUAGCCACUGCUUUAUGCAACUGCUAUGGAAUUCAUGUCCACAAUCCAAUAUGCCCAUGUAAUCUCCACUUGUGUAUUCCUCCCGACAUAUACAGCAAGGCGACGAUGACCCUCCAUAUACUGGCUCAUGCUUUCGCUGUUUCAUACGUCCCAAAAUGAUUUCUUCACUCAAUCCGGUGUUCACAUUUCCUAUAUGUUCUUCCAAUGCCAAUAAUUCCUCGUACGACAUGUUAUCAACAUCGAGCCUCAUGCCUCUAUGUCUAUCAUGCAACUCCGCGACAUUGUUGACGAAUGGAUCAAGCAUCAUAUGAAACAAUUAAUCACUAUAGGAAAUUUUAAAAUCGUCAAAUGUGAAACUUAACUUCAAAUUUUAGGAUUUUAAAACUCUCUUUGCCAAUUGACGAGUUUCCUUUACAAGUUUCUCAUAGAAUAAUUCCAAUCUUUAUAUCAUGAUUCCAAGUUCAUACUCCAAUUCUGAAAUCUCAAUUUUAUCUAUUUUCCUUCAGUUGGGCUAUUCCCAAAUCUCGCUAAAAAAAACAGCAAAAACAUUUUUAACUAUAACAAAAAUGACACAAACUCAAAAGACAUCAAUAAAAUCUAUAUGACAUGAUUUUUUUGACCAAGAACCAAAGUGAGUGAUAAAAUAUGUCAAAUAUAGACGUGGUCCAAACUUGAAAUAAAAAGCAUGCUUAUAUUUAUCACUAAACUAAAAAUAUAAUACAUAUUAUGAUUUUGAUAAACAAUAGCUAUGUAUAUUGAUACAUAUGUUUGCAAUUUAUUCAUCAAUAUUCUUCUAUAUGAAUAUAUUUGUUACUCCAUUAAAACUAAAAAGAUAAUACAUAUUGUGAUUUUGAUAAAUAAUAGAUAUGUAUAUUGAUUUAUGAGACACAAAGCCAAUUUUUUUAUUAGAAAUGUAUAAAACACAAAACUAAAAAUAAAAAUGUAUGAGACACAAAGCUAGUUUUUUAUUUGAAAAUUCUUUUUUUUUCCGCUCGUAAAAUACUUAGCAAGAUUUUAUAAUAUAAACGAGUAUUUCAACAUAAAAUUCUGCUCGACACAAACACAUUUCUCUAUUUUUCUUUUCCAAAAACCUUCUUCUCCACAUCUCUUGUUAUUUAUUCAUAUUAUUAAAAUAUUUAUCUUAAAUUAUUUCUUAAUUUAUAAAAUUAAGAUAGAUUUUUUUAAAACUUUUUUUUAAUAUAUAUAUAUAUUUAAAAAAUAUAAAUAUUGUAGAGUUUUUUAAAAGUUUUUCUAUUUUUAAUUUUGAUAUGCCAUAUAAAACAUGUAUUAAAAAAGAGUUAAAUAAUAAAUUAAUAAUUAUGAUAUUUUUUCUUCAAAAAUAGUAGGAUAAGUAGAAUAUAAUUUUGAAAAAGAAAAGAAAAAAAGGGAUGAUAAAUUAGCGAAAGAAAAGCAGUCACACCUUUCCCCUUACCAGGACCAACGAAGCAGACAGCGGGAGCUAUGGUACUGCACUGCUGCUUCACCGGAACUACCCUCCAUUCCCUCAAACUUGCUGCAAUUCCUUACUUCUCCAGAACCCUAACCUCUCGUCUAACGCCCUACUAUCCAAGGCCGCUGUUCCCUCUUGCCGUUAGAUCCCUUUCUGCCGCCUCCUCCGCCGCCACCUCCACAGACGAGUAUCAAGGUAAUUUUAUAUUGACGUUUUUUUAGUUUUGUUUUGUUUUAUUAUAACACUAAAUAUUGCGGCGGUGAAUAUAGUGGUGAAGCCCCAAUGGAAAGCUGCAAUUGAUUUCAAGUGGAUAAGAGAUAAUAAGGAGUCAGUUGCGGUUAAUAUUAAGAAUAGGAACUCCAAUGCUAAUCUGGAGAUUGUUCUCGAGCUCUACGAGAAGUUGCUCAGUGUUCAGAAGGUCAAUUUUCUAUCUCACUUGUUCACUCUUUUGAAGAUAAUGUCUCAACCUUUCGAUAUUUUGCAUUUAUCUUCAAAAUUCAUAAUUCAGUUGUGCUGUUAGUGAAACUUGUUAACUUGAGCAGUAGCUACUGCAUCACUGUAUAAUCUUCGUGAACAUUUAACAUUUUACGGACAUAUAUACAUACUAUAAUGGAAUUAAUGGAAAAUGGAAUUCAGAAGAAGACACCUGUAUGUGACUCUAUAAUGUGGAUAACCAGAGUCAUGAUAUAAGUUUGAAAAUCCUUUACGAGGAGUAUGAACAUUUCUCUUAUGUUUCUCUCCUGUUUUCUUAUGGUUGGUCUGGGAAAGUUCCAGCCUCCCUCCUGCCAACUGUCUAAAUUGUGUUUCAAAGAAGUUCAGAAUUAGUUUUUCUCCCUCUCGCCAACUGUGUAAAUUGCAUGAUAAAGAAGUUUAGAAUUAGUGUUUCUCUCACAUGGCAACUGUAAUUGCAUUUUAAAGAAGUUCAGCAUUAGUGUUUCAUACUUUUGGCAAAAAUGAUUGCGGAUAUAGGUAUCAGGUGGCUGUUAAUUGAUUAAUGGAUGUGUUCUGCUGUGUACUUCUUGUUUUUUUUCUUCUUAAGUUUAAGCCAUCACCUUAGGUUGUGGGCCUGAGGUGUGGGGGGUUUGGCUUGGACCCCUACCAUGUUAAUUAAGUAGCAAAAAUAUGUAUAAUGACAAGAGGGGGACAUGGAACCUUGCCUCAAGUCUACAAAAAAAGAUUGCACAACAAUCUUGCUAGGAAAGGAAGUAGCCCAUGGACAAUCCUUUCCAAAUAUCCAAAAAGAACUUUAACUAACAAAGAAGUUACAUUUUUCAUAUCUUCUCCUAAAAGUAGGAGUUUGCCAUUUAUCAAGUUGAAGUAGAUCCUUUGCCUCUCUAUGAAGUUCUUUAAGUGGGUGAUAAAAGGUUCUAGUUCCACUUGUAGAGGCCAUUUUAGCAAGGAGGUCUGCAGUUUGAUUUGUUUCCCUGUAGCAAUGAGAAAUGGCAUACUGAUACCAGUGAGAUGAUUUACGAUACCACUCACAAUGUGUUUGAGCUUUAGAUUGUUGGUAUCCUUGUUGAUCAACAUGUUGGAGAUGACGAGAGAGUCCAAUUUGAUGUCUAAUAUUGUGAAUCGCUGUUGCAUGCACCAUUGUACACCAAACUUGACUGCUAAAGCUUCAGUCUGGUUGUUGCUUUGACUGUGAACCGGGACAGAAUAAGCCAUGAUGAAAUCUCCUCUUUCAUUCCUUACCACACCCGCUAUACCAGCCUUGUUUGUAUCCUUGUAGAAACUGCCAUCAGUAUUGAGCUUUAUCCUUCCAGCAAUUGGUUUCUUCCAGCUAACAACAGUGCUUCUAACAAGAGGUCUAAUCUUUUCCACAUUAUUGCAAAUAUUGACCCAGCUUUCUUCAAUAGCUAUGUUGGGAAAGGCUUCAUUAAUUACAGCUUUCAUAUUCCAAAUGCACUGUUUGAUCAUUUGAUAUAGAUAUAAUUUACCAUUCUCUCCAUAACUACAACUAGCCCAAGAUUUCCAUAUUUCCCAACAUAUCAUGAUGGGUGUUGCUUGUAAAAUCAGCUUGUGCACCAUAUUUCUUGGUUUAAGGCUCCAACAUUUGUUGAAUACUCCUCUAAUUGGCAUUGUAUCAUGUCUAAUAGCCAGAGGCGCACCCAUUAUUUUCCACAUAUGUUCAGCAACCUUACCUUCGACAAAUGUAUGUUGUAUACUAUCAUUUUGUGGUACCAAACAACACACACAAUCCACAUUUUCAUUGUUCCCAAACCUUGAUAAAGCUCCUCUAAAAGGCAAAUGUCCAAAAAAUAUCCUCCAACUGAUAAAAGAGUGUUUGAAAGGAAUUGAUUUGUCCCACAGAUUAGAGACUAAAGUGUUGAUCUGUCUGUGGUUCCUAAUCAAGUUCCAAGCAGAGCUAUUAGAAUAGUGACCAUCUUCUGUAUCAUUCCAGAUAGCAUAAUCUUUAAUUUCAUCAUUUCCAAGUCCAGUAGAUGUGAUAUGUAAAGCUACAUGACUAGGAAAUGUGUUAUAGAGCUUCUGGACAUUCCACCUGUUAUUUCUCAAGAAGUCUUUUACGUCUGCUUUAGCAUUGUCUCUUGUCAUAAAGUUUGGACAGAUGUUGGCAAGAGCACCCAUUUCUGUCCAGUUAUCCCACCAUAAACUGCAUUUACCAUUGUUAAUUUUUCACCGAAUGCAUUUUCACUCAUAUCUCUUGCUCAGUGUUGUGAAAGGCGCUCGCCUUUCGCCAAAGGCGAUAAGGCGAGGCCCUCACGCCUUUUCACAGUGUGGCGAGGCGAAGUCAGAAAGGCGACGUAAGGCGCCAAUAUGGCGAUGGCGAGGUGGCGCCUCUUUUAAUUUUUUUUUAUUUUUAAAAUAAGGUCUGACUUGAUAAUAUUAGUCAAAAUUAGAGUUUUUUUCAAACUUUCAUCAGUCUCCAGUAGCGACUUCUUCUCCUCUUCUCCAGUCGAGCGUCUUCUUCUCCUCUGCGCGAGUCUGCUGCAAGGUAUGACCUGUUUUUCUUCUUCUUCUUUUUAGUUUUUCUCGAAUCUCGACCUCUUCUUCUUCUUCAGUUCUCUUCUUGACUUCUUCUUCUUCUCUUCUUUUCUUCUUUUCUUCACUUCAGUUCUCUUCUUUUCUUCAGUUUCUUGUUGCUGAACCCAGGAUUGUGAAUCGAGCUGAAACUGCUGCUCACUGCUCUGUUUUGUUCACUGUCACUGCUGACUGCUGUCUCUAUUUAAAAAAAAUAAAAAUUUAAUCCUUCUAUAAUUAUUUCUUCCCUACUUAAUUUAGUUUUAUAGUAAUUAAUAUAGUAUUUAUUUGUCCAUAAAUAAGUGAAUUCAAUUGUCUUUUGAAUUAUUGGGUCUUUAAAGUUCUAGACUUUUAGUAUCUAGUAGUAAUAGUUUUUGAAUUGAAUUAUUUGCUAAUAUAUGUUGUUGCUAUUGAGAUUUUGGAUAUUUAUAUAUGCAAUUAAAUAUUUUUAAUUUUUGGUAUUAAUUGGCGCCUCAUUUCAAAAAGGCGAGCGCCUCGCCGUGAGGCGAGGCAGGCCCUUGUCGCCUUUCGCCGUCCAAAACACUGCUCUUGCUAGCAGAAGGUGUUUCCAAGCUUGUGAGUUGCCAGCAUACCAGUUUUUGCCCACGACAUGGAUUAUAGAACAAUAUUAGAAAAUAUUUAGAGAUUUCAAAUAGAAAAUAUAAAGGAAAAUCUCUAGACGUGUUGUCUUAUAUUUUCUAUCAUGUCCCUUAUAUGUUGUAUACUCAAUAAUAUCAAAUUAUAUAAAAAAAUUGUUGUGAGAAUAUUUUGCUUUAUGUAACUUCUUUCUUCAUGUGGUCUACUGAACUCUACAAUUUUCUAGAAAUAAACUACCACAAAUGUAUGAAGCUUAUCUUCUAGCAAUAUACUACUACCAUUUUUUUUGCAUAAAAAUAAUGCUAAUUUUUUUAUAAUUAACUAUACAAGACAAAGAAUAGAAAUAAAUAAGAAAAAGACUUAUUAAAAUUGUGUAAUUCAACUUGAUAUUCUAAUUGAAUUGUGUGGGCCACUCAACCUAAAAUUGUUUCAGUGUCAUUUGAGAAAAAAGAACAUGGUAGGGUCAAAAUAACAUUAACAAAAACAUGGUGGCUUAUUAAAAAUUAUCAAUGCGCCUUACAAGAAAUAAAAAAUGAAAUAUAUUUUUUUUUAAUGUAGCCGCAAAAUGCAGAUUUAGUGCGCCUUACAAGGCGCAACCGCCAUGCGCCUUGCAAGGCUCUGACCGCCUACGCCUUGUAAGGCGCAUUGAAACCUGCGCUUUGCGGCUGCCACCCUAAUUUAGACGAUGUUAAUUUGAUCGUUAGAAAGUUUCCCUUUUGGUUCUAAAAUCAAUUUUGUUGCCCUUUUGGAAUUUUUGACAAAUUUUCUUGCCCUUUCGGCUCCAGACUCUGAUUUUAGCCAUACUCGGCCUAGUACGCCAAUUAGUGGCAGCAUCCAGAGUAGGAGGAGUUCCAACAGAGUUCAAUAAUUGUUUAAUAUAAUGCCAAGUAUGUAAGUGAAAGGGCAAACCUGGUGGAAGAACCCAUGCUGGAGCUAUUGGUAGAUCUUCUUCUGGUUUGAAGUCAGGAGACCAUUUUUGUAACCACAUUUGUGCCCAUCAUUCUCAGUUACGCACUUAAACCAAACUGAUUUGAAGUCCUCUUCAUUUGUCAGGUCAAUGAAAACAUUGUAGUUGUCGUAAACACCAAUUUUUGAAGAACCCUUAAUUAUAAUCUUCUCCUUAAAUUGGGAUCUGAUUUGUCAAUUUGGGGUCGGGUUUUGGAGAAUCUACCCACAAUUGUGUAUCGACACUCAUCAGCCAUUACUCCAUAAUACUCAGAAGCUUUGAAGAUCACAACCGGCAUUCCAUCAUGGACGGAGUGUCGAGCCUGUUGAAUUGAAGUCGAAGGAUGAGUAGGAUUUGUUGCUGGAGCAGGAAUUGUACAAGCAUAUGAUGGUUUCUCUGAGAUUCCUUCUGUCAUAGCAUUUACCCCACAAAUAUGGUGAUUCCCUCCUUGCGGAUGUGCUGGAAGAUGGCCUCCCGGAGGCUCCAUCAAAGGUGGACCGUGUUAGGACACACUUCUAUUAGCCGUUAAUGAACGUUAGAAAAGAGGAGCGAGAAGAGAGGAUUGAUUGAUAUAUCUUACGCAAUGAAGUCCAAUAGAUGUGAUAUGUAAAGCUACAUGUCUAGGAAAGGUGUUAUAGAGCUACUCCUGGUAAAUUGCAUUUAUAUUCCAGAUAUGACCCUGUACUCUGUAGAGAUUCCUUCCUCCUGUCAUCUUUCCCUCUCCUUUGCAUUAUAGGAUAAUGAUACAUGACAAAAGGAGCAGGAUUUCUGCUCAUUACCAUUGUCUUGAUAAUUACAAAGUUUUUUAGUGCUUUGUGUUGCAUUCUUAGAGCUUCAAUUUGUUCAUAGAAGUAACACAUUUACAUGUUUGAAUGAUUUUUUGUAGAACUGGUUGUUCUCAAUAUUAGCUAAUUGUUACUCACAGAUAACAGGAGGUUGAAAAGUUACGAGCAGAGAGAAAUGCAGUUGCAAACAAGAUGAAAGGAAAACUAGAACCCUCAGAACGCCAAAAGCUCAUUGAAGAAGGUUCAUUUCUUAUUUUAUGUCCACCUUGAAGUUUUUGGUGGCUAGGUUAUUCAUUGUGUGAAUUGUAUUUUUCAUCAGGAAAGAAUCUGAAGGAAGAACUUGUUACUUUGGAAGAAGACCUACUAAAACUAACAGAUGAGCUGCAGCAAGAAGCACAAUCCAUACCUAAUAUGACACAUCCAGAUGUUCCAUUAGGAGGGGAAAAUUCUUCAACAGUCAGGAAAAUGGUACUUCUUAUUUAAUAUAGACAGGUGUGCAGACCACAUUGUUUUGGUCCUUCUCAAGCCUCAUUUACAUUCCUUGUAUUUCAGGUUGGUAAGCCUGCUGAGUUUAGCUUUGCUGUUAAGGACCACGUCCAGCUGGGAAAAGAGCUAGAUCUGUUUGAUUUUGAUGCUGCAGCUGAGGUAUUCUUUCUCACCCAAGGCAUUUGUUUUGUAACCUAGAACUAACUUAGUGGCUGUAUAUAUUAUCAAUACAAUCCAUUUGUUUUGAAAGAAAAACCAGUCUCUUCCUCACCAUGUUACCUUUUGCAUACUGGACCAUGUUCUUCCCAAACUGUUUCUGCUAUCGAGUUAUCAAACCUAAUGUUGUAGCCGCCAUUGGCUUUCAUACAGUUAUGCCAAGCUGGUAGUAAAUUGUGUUUGCUGGUUGAACGUUGGUCUUCCACUACUUUGUUUUUUAGCAGAUUGCUUGCAUCCAAAGAUCGUUGGACACGAUUAAGUUUGUAUACCACAUAGGCAAAUUGACCUGCUACCACUGCUUACUUUCAGAAGAUGAGUUGGUUAUAGGAAAUAGGAAAUCUUGAUUUAGCUUGCUUAUGGUUAAGUUAAAUUUGCUUUUCAGGUCAGUGGGUCGAAAUUCUAUUACUUGAAGAAUGAAGCAGUUAUUUUAGAGAUGGGUCUUGUAAACUGGGCAGUUUCCGAGGCCAUGAAAAGAGGUUUUACACCUCUGACAACUCCUGAGAUUGUACGGUCAUCUGUAGUGGAAAAAUGCGGAUUUCAACCCCGUGGAACAAACACUCAGGUUUGUCUUUCAUUAAUGUUGAUGCCAUUUGGAUGAUUUUGUCCACAAUCUGUGAUGUGUCCUUUUCAACUUCUGUUUGUGAACAUUGCCAUUGUGUCUGUAGAUAGGUGUUAUUACUUUGCUUGAAAAUCAGAUUGAGAGAUAACCAUAACAGCCAAUUUAUUGUUUAUCUUGUAUUUUUUUUUGAAGAGCAUAAUAUCUUCUCUCUUUUUUUAACUGAUUUUUGAUGGUGACGCGAAGUUUUUACUCGAACCAAGUCUUGGGCUACCAAGGUAACCCUGGUUUACUGAAAGAAGAGUUUAAUGACCUUGACAUUGUUAUUUGAAGCUAGAGACUUAUUUUCCUCCAUAGUUUGGGUUUUUAACUUCAUAUGCAGAUUUAUUAAUUGAUAAUAUAGCAAGCUCUUUACAUGAAUCAUAGUCAUAUUCUGAACCUCUUACUUGCGACAUGUUAGUCUUUAGUUAAAUGUAUAACUAUGUAUAAUUUACUUUUCUUUUUCAUUCUUGGCAUGUUUGUCAUUGUUCUGGGUAGGCUUUGUGAUUUUUUCACUUUUUUUUUUUUUUUGGGUGGGGGAAGGAGAAGCUGAAGCAAUAUCAUUCACUGAAAUGAAUUGGUUAAAUUGAUUUAGCUGAUGAGUGAUAUUUUACUAAAUGACUGGUAGGUGUACUCCAUCGAAAAUAGUGAUCAGUGCCUGAUUGGCACCGCUGAAAUUCCAGUAGGCGGAAUACAUAUGGACUCCAUUCUGUCUGAGUCUUCAUUACCAUUGAAAUAUGUGGCGUUCUCGCAUUGCUUCCGGACGGAGGCUGGUGCUGCAGGAGCUGCAACUAGGUUUCUUGUGAUUUCUUAUCUUCCUGUCAUUCUUUUCUUUUCCUGUCUUCCUUUUUUAAAAAAUACUUUCUUUCUUCACAUAAUAUAUGAUGACAUAUGCUAUAAAGAGAUAAUACAUAUCCACGUUUUGCAACUUUCAUACUUAAACUACGGGGUGUCGUAUUACUAUUUAUUAUAAGUGAGAAUAGAGAGGAGCUUGGGGUCAAGUUUCUCAAUUUACAGAAGAGGAACUAAGUUUCAUUAAAUGUUAAGAGAUUACUCACUACUGAGAGCACACUUCAUCGGCCUAUCACAAAGCUGGGCCCACCUACUUUUAUGCACUCCUCUUCCAUUAUAUUUUAAUAUUUUCCUUUUUAAAUAGUACUAAAAAAUAGAUUUAAAAUAUUACAUCGAAAUUUCGCGUGAGCUGUAUAAUUGGGAUGAAGGAAAUAACAUAUAUUAUUUGAAAAAUUACGUUAAGAAUAACAUAAAUCACAAUAAUUAACGACUUACAAUAUUUGAAAAACAUAUUAACUCUCAAAAUUUCACAUUCACAUGUGUCACAUAAAUUGGGACAAAUGUAGAAACAUGUGUUAUUUGAAAUUAUGUUAAGAUUACUAUUAAUCACAACUUAAAAGUAUUUAAAAAUAGAUGACAUAUAUUAUUUGAAAAUAAUGUAAAAAGUAUUAUAAAUUAUUAACAAUUUAACAGAUAUUGUACCCGUGCUUACAUAUUAGAAGUGAGAAUGUUUAGGAGCUUAGGGUCGGUCGGUCAAUUGCCCGAUUUGCCCUUCUUCUUCAACUUCCUCUAUUUACUCCAAAAAUAGUACUAAAAAUCAAUUUAAAUAUUAAAAAUUUGGUUAGUUCUUGAAAUUUCACAUGUACUGCACAAUAGAAUAGAGUGAGUAAUAUAUAUUAUUCGAAAAUUAUGUAAAUAGUACAAAAAUAUAGUUAAAAUAGUACUAAAAAUUCGAUUAACUAUUGAAAUUUCAUAUGUACUGCAUAAUUAAAAUUGAGUGAGAAAUAUAUAUUAUUUGAGGAUUACGUUAAAUUAUGCUAAGAGUUUUGUAAAUCACAACAAUUAACAACUUAAAAUAUUUGAAAAACAUAUUAAAAUGUGAUUAACUUUCAAAAUUUCACAUGUGCUACAUAAAUUGGGACAAGAAGAGUAACAUAUAUUAUUUAAAAAUUACGUUAAGUAUAUUAUAAAUCAUUCACAUAAAUAAAGACAAAUAAAGUAACAAUUAUUGGGUCCGUGCUUGCACGGGCUCAUUGUAUCUAGUUACCCCCUAAACUACUAUGUUUCCAAUUUAAACCCCCCCUGGAAUGCCAAGUGGCAUCGAAGAGUUAUUUUACUCUCUUUGUGACAUGUGAGAACUAAAAUUAGGCAAAAAACAGCAGCCACAUUGCAUUUUCCCUCCACUUUUCGUAUUAAUUAGUCUUAUUCUUCAUUUGUUCCUUUUUCGUAUUCAACUUUCUUGGUUUCUUUUUUCUUAAGCUGAAAUGUGUAUGGCGCGAGAAAUGCACACUAUUAACUUAGUUUCAUUCAAGAGGUUUUUUCGGAGGAAACAUUGUAGUACAGGGGGUAAUAAUGACAUCCAACAAUUUAAGUAUGGAAGUUGCUAAAUAUUGAAGAGUUCAGGUUUUAUUAAUUUAUUAUCUCAUAUAUAAAUUCCAUGAGCCCACUAAAUGUAUUAAUUACUUUAAUAUCUAGUUGUUCUGUGACCGUUUGUGCUUAAGUUCCUAGUUUCAUCACUGAGCGUCCAUCAAAAAUGGAAAAUCUGCUGAAAAUUAUAUAUGUGAGCACAUACACAGUCAUACAUAUAUUUUUUUUCUGCAUCAAGUAAUUAAUUACAGUGAUUGGCUGCAGGGGACUUUAUCGAGUUCACCAGUUCAGCAAGGUGGAGAUGUUCAUACUAUGCCGACCAGAUGAAAGUGAUUCAUACCAUGAAGAACUCAUUGAAAUUGAAGAAGAGCUCUUCUCAUCGCUUGGAUUUCAUUUCAAGUGCGAAUCUUAAUUUCAUAUAUACGAGGACCAAUUUAUGCAUGUUUAGUUAAUUAGUUGAUCAGUUUUGUGCACCAAACAUACAGUUGUUUUUCUUUCUCCAUUUCUUAUAAGCAAAGCAUACUGUGUGCAGGACACUGGACAUGGCAUCUGAGGAUCUAGGUGCACCAGCAUAUCGUAAAUUUGAUGUGGAGGCCUGGAUGCCAGGAUUGGGCCGUUAUGGUGAGGUAGGCAAUGGCACCAAGUCUAUUUUUUUUAUCCAGAUGUACAAUUAUCACAUAUUUAACGUGGAGCUGCACUGUCCAUAAUUUCUGCAACUAUUGGAUCGUUUGGAUGAGCGGUUGAACAAAGCUAGAACAACUGAAUCACUGCUCUACCUUGACUUGAUUCUUUAUUUUCUUUUAACAAUAUUCUAAUCUGCUACAUUCUUUGUUCAACAGAUAUCAAGUGCAUCAAAUUGUACAGAUUAUCAAAGCCGGCGGCUGGGAAUAAGAUAUCGCCCCGAAUCAUCAUCAUCAGCAAGUCCUAAAAAGGGCAAAAAUGCAGCUCCGACACAGUUCGUUCACACACUAAAUGCUACAGCAUGUGCAGUUCCUCGAAUGAUAGUUUCCUUGCUUGAGAAUUUCCAGCAAGAAGAUGGCUCAGUUAUUAUUCCAGAGCCACUGAGACCAUUCAUGGGUGGGCUUCAGAUUAUUAAACCAAAACAUAUACAGAACUGAAACAGGAAGCACAUUUAAUAUUAGAUUCUGUAUCUUUCAUCAUACUUUUUUCCCAUCAUCUUUUUCAGUAGUUUUCAUGUUCAAUUCGGCAGUAGAUUGGACAGACGUUUAAGAUGAGUUUAAGUUUAUAUAAAAGUUGAAUAUUUAUCGUCAUUGGAAAUUGCAGAUUGGCUGUUUGCUUUGAGGUUAUGGCAUUCUGACAUAAGGUGUUUGUUUAUAUAUCAUUUUCUACUUAGUUACUAGACUUGUUUACAAAAGGAUUUGAACCCAUGCGCGCCUAUUUUUUCAGUAAAGAUUGAUAGCAUGUUUCGUCAAGCUUUGGGAGGUCAAAAAUACCUGUUUUUAAAAAGUGAGGUGUUUGGCCAAACUUUUGAAAAUAAGUAAGUGUUUAUGUGAGUAUAGAAAGUUGUUUUUCAUAAGUUAAACAUGUAGCUUUUUCCUAAAAGCACUUGUGGAAAAAAUACAUUUUAGAAGAUUGGCCAGGUUGUGAGUCAUGCUGUAUUCGAUACUUGUCUUCGACCCCUUAAUCUCUUGUUUUCACUUGCGUUGUAAGGCAUUGAAAAGAAACACGAAAGAAUAGACAGACACUACAUAUUAUGCUAUUCUAAUGAAAUAUGCUGUUGAUUAAAGCAUGAAUUAUCUUGAAAGAUAAUCCUGUGGACAAUAAUAAUCCUGUUGGGGGACAAUACGCAUAGAGGCUCUACAUAUACAACAUAUAUUAAUGUGACUGAAAGAUCUUAUUGUAAAUACAGUUCAAACUAAACAGUUCCUAUCCCCUCUUGUGAGAAAAAAAAUAAUUCUCAAACCUCUCAGUUACUAAUCUGCCAGUAAGCAUAUUUAUCUCUGUUGUGCGCGGUGCAUUCAUAAUGCAAAAACUGCAGCUGCCACCUUUCUACAACUUGAGUUUGGUAACAUCAAUUUUCCUGGGAGGAUAAGUAUAUGCCUCAUAGUUUAUUACUUGUCCCAAACUGCUUAAUUUUGUAACAGUAGUAAUCAAGUCAACCUGAAAUUAGACAGAGUUGCUGUUAAGGCUUAGCAUUAAGCAUGUAUUAUUUUAACAUUAUACAAUCAAUAACGUGUGACUAAUUAUGUGGAUGGAAACCAAAGGGAAAGAGAGAUAACAAAGAGGAAGCAAUGUCACGUCUUUGUGCAAAUAUUCCAGGUAGUUAGUUGCUUUAAUAUGAGUUGUUGAACUGUUAUGAUGGUGGUGAUUCACAUGAAUAGAUAGCCUCUUAUUAUUUAUCCUUGAUGAGAUUAUCCAUAGAUAUUGUGAAGGUCUUUUAUAAAUUUAAGUAGGGAGCAUAUACUAGCCUCAUAAUCAGUUCGAGACACUGUUUCCCUGCUCCUUUGGUACUUCUGAAUCCAAGGAAGAACUUCUGGAUCACUGGCGAGUAGGGUCUCUGUUGCAGCUUGAUCAGGACCCAAGAAUGCAGACAUUACUGCUAACUGCACAGACAUUGAAAUUAUAGUUAGUUACUCUUAUUCAUUCACUAUAAAGAUAUUAUAACGGUAAGAGAAAACAUUACCAAUUGAUCUUGUUGGUAAAUGCAAAACUACUUAUUGACAACUGACAAAAGACAUGCAUAGAAUGUAUAAUGCAUUUGUAAAUUGUUUAGCUCUUUGUUCAGACUUCAGGGUAUCAUUAGCUAAAUGCUGGAAUGAUGGAUUGAACCUUAAAGUUUUAUUUUUUUGGGUACUUCAGGUGGAAACAGUACAAAUAGAUAUCGUACCUUUUGCCAAAACUAAGAAGGAAAAUAUGUCAAUUACCAAAUUGAUUUUUUUCAAUAAGUUGCAGAACUAUUUUUUGGCACCUAACAAGGACACACAUAAAAGUACUGCUUUUUUAUUUUUUUGUAAAUUGUUCUACAGUUUGUCUAGAGUAUCAGCUAUUCAGCUAUAUUAUCUUUGUAAUUGUGGAUGAACAUUAAUGUUUUUAUUUUCUUUAAGCAAGCAGGAUGUGCAUGCCCGAAGACUUUUUAACUUUCAGUUGAUACAUCAUUCUUAUCUGGUUAUGAAAAAUUAGGGGAACAUGUUUUUUCUGUCCUUGCUUUUGAAAUUUGGCAGUCUACUGACUGCACAUAGACACAAAGUUCAAUGUGGAUUACAAGCUAAUGGAGGAAUGCUUAUGGCAGUAUUCUGCAGCAGUAGCAAAGCUGAGGGUCUACUCCGUCUAGUAAGGUCAUUCCUCCUAUCUUUCCCAUUUUUAGUAUUUACAUGGAAGUGAUACUACUUGACAGAAUUGCUAAAGGGAUCCCAAUUAUUUAUCCUCCAAAAGGAGAUGUUACCAUAACUAGGUCCAAAAUGUACAAAUAUGCUGUCCCAAGUAGUAACUACUCUUUUACCUGACGAGGGCCCAAGCCAACAGCUUUGAACUUGUCUUUCAUUUCCUGCACACUUGCUUUAUCCCACUGAGGCACCCUUCCCUCUGGAUCAGGCUCCUGGGCAUCUGACCUCCCAAAUAUCCUAUCAAAUUGGCCCCACUGUGGACAGAGAAAAAUACACAAUCAAUCUUAAGCGACAACUUCCUUUUUUGGAGAUAAAUAACCUGAAGGAACUACUUAAUCGAAUAACCAUACAGGUACUAAAUGAUCGACAUUUCUCUUCAUUUUGCUCAAAGUGUUUUUACAAGUGAAGUUUCACAAGUCAUGAUAUAUAAUUGACGUUUCUAUUGUAACUUUAAGAAUCAGAAACUGAGGUUAUAUUAUACUGUGCAUUAUUCAGAUGUGGAAAGAACAUAAAUUAGUUUGAGCACCCUUUUGAUUGCCUCUCCUCUACUGUGUUCAUGGCCUCUCUCUCAAGACAUUAAGUAAUAUAAAGGGGAAAUCCAUGGAGUUCAAAGAUAACAAUGUUUCUGCACUAAUCAAGGAAAUUAAAUACAUCCAAAGAAAGCUAACCUGUCCAUUAGAACCAUAUGCAGAGUACAACAAAGUCCCCUUCUCUACAUUACCACCACAUUUGCUAAUUGCAGAAGCGAUAAAGGUCGAUUUGACUGCACUUUGUGCUGCAUCAAGCAAAAGAAACGUAAGUGACAAAAUUUGCCAGCUAGGUGCUAAAAUUAUCUGAGGGAAUUAUGACAUUCAAAAGAAUCCUAAAGUUAUCUAUCUAGGCUUAUGAUAUUCAUUAGUUUUUCUUAUCAGUGCAAUUUUAGCUUGGGACUAUAUGUGGACACUAAAUAACGCUAUACUUGGAAAUGCAGCAGAAAACAGGUAGGAUAGAAGAGAUUGUAGAAGAUAACAGUCAAUGCUAGAUUUCGGUAAUUGUUACAUUUGAGAGGCUGCUUAUAGGUGGGUACAUGAGUAAAUCCAUCAGACCACCUCCCAUCAAUUUUAUAAAUUAAGCAAGAACAUGAAUUUGUUGGUAAAACUCCUCUAAGGUGUAUUCAUAUUAAUGAUGCUUGUUUAACAGAAGCAUAAAGCUAAACAUAUAACAAAACUAGCAUCGAUCUAAAAUCACUUACCGGCAAAUUGGAUGAGAUCUGCAUAUGAGAUUGGUCCACCUUUGGAAUCUGAAUCUAUAACCUUCUUUGAUUCCUCCAACAAAUUCAAAGCAGCAUCAUGCCCCUUAUUUUCUGGUCUGCUGAUCUCUGAGCUUCACAUAGGGAAUAAGGGUACAAGAAAGAUGAAUAAAAGGCAAGGUAAUAUCUCAAUGGUCAAUCAACUUUCAGCAAAAAGUGAGAUCUCAUCCUAGAACAUGACACUUGAUGCAGAUAAUUAGCCAAGCUAAUGAACACAGUUCAUAUAUCCAUAACAUUUCCAUCAAGUUUCAGUCUAUGACAGUAGAAGUCCUGAAACCUAACAGAGAACUUAAAUGCAUUUGGAUUGAAGAAAACAUGACCAGACAAUGGCGAAAGCAGGAUUUUCAUUGAGAGAUUCAUAAAGUAAAUAAAAUAGACACACGAAAUUCAACAUCUAGUAUACAUAUAUAAAUUUUCUUUGGCGAAGGGUAUUCGAUGAACCCCCUUCUAGAGACGGAUUCAUGAUUUUUUAUGAGUUCCUACAGCGACCUCAAGUUAAUACUCAAUAAGAACUGUUUUAACAGUCAAAUAUUUAUGAUUAUUUAAUAGAUUUCAUUAUAUAUAUAUAUAUAUGUGUGUGUGUGUGUGUGUGUGUGUGAGAGCAAAAAUAUUGGGUUCACAUGAACCCAUAGUUAGGCCUCUACAUCCGCCCCCUAGCUCCGCCACUGUGACCAGAGUCUUUUUUAUCCAGUUUCAACUUAAAAAACAGGAGAUACAAAAAUGGUACAUCUGACUUCAUGGGAGUAUAACACUUUAUCCAAGGCAAUAGGUUGAUGAAAAGAAAGUACCUGAAACGUAUGGAUCCAUUGGGACCCCCGGUUUUUGUUGCCUGCAAAAUAUUCCUCAAUUACACAAGUCUUUUACUUUUCUCAGUCAAGAUAAAGGAGAUAAUGGUCUCUGACCUUAUCAUAUGUUAUGGCAUCGUUAAGUGCUAAAGUUAGUAAGGAUGGAAUUAUAUCCGGAUUUGCCUGGAAGAAAACAAAGACAAAUAAGGUAUAGAAAACUUUUAGAAUUUGUAUGUUCAACUUGAGUAAUUAGCAUCUGUUAUUAAAGAUUCACCUUUAUAGCAUCAUAAAGAGUCAGUUUGAUCUUUGCUGUAAAUAAAGAAAAAAGGAAUCUCAGUUCACUAAAAUGAAGCAUGCCAGAUUUGCUUGUGAGAAGAAAAUGAAGACUUUGCCAAGCUUACAUUGAAAAUCUGACCGCUGUCUGCGUUGUAUCAAAUCAGCAGCAUUAGCUACUUCGAUGAAUGCACUGGAUCUUGCUAUCAAGUCCUAACAGAAAUUACAGCUGAAAGUAAUCAUCACCUCAACACUCUUAUAUUGUUAGAUGAGAUAACAGUCCAUAAUGUAAAUUUGUAAAAUUUAUAACUGCAUAUACAUUUGACCACAAUACAAAUUUGUUAAUAUAUAGCUACAUAUGCAUUUAAUAGAUUUUUUCAACAAUAACUUUAUCUCUAGUUGUACAAUUUUCCAUCCAUCUUACAUAGACUACUUUGAGUUUAUCUGCAUGUAAGCACUUUCUUUUUUCUUUCAAAAGAUAACUUGUACUAAAAUGAAUGAGUUAUUAGGGAAAAAGGUGCUGGAGAAGUUUGUGCCUCCUUGAAUUCUGAAAGUAAAGAAGAAACUAAUAUAGUUACCUUCAGUCAGAGAAAGAAAGUGCAGACAUAUAUAACCUGUUAGUACUAAUAGUUACUCACUCCGUCCUAAUUUAUAUGAUGUAGUUUGAAUUUUUCUGUGGAGGGUUGAGAGAGCGAAUGACCUUAGAGCCUUUGACAGUAAUCAUGUGUUACAGAAUUUGGAUCUUUAAUAGGAUGUAUAUAAGCAAAGACCCUAGAUAGUAGUGAACAUUAUUUUUCAGCACUAAGUUAGUUGGUUUUUAAUUGGAAAUUAGACAUUUUUACUCAUUGUUAGACAAAACUACGUGCUCACAAUGCAUAUUGGAUUGCACUACAUGACAACAUGUUGAAGUUCAACUCAUUUCUUCUGUUGACAGUUAAUGUAAGCAUGUUAGACACAAUUGAUGUGUUCAAGAUGCACACUGGAUGAUCACAAUACACUACAUUGUUGAAGUUUAACUCAUUUCUUUCAACAAAGCAAUCCUGCUUAAAUGGAAAUAAGGGACUCACCAUGCCUACUGCUGCUCCAACAGAUUGAAGAAUAUCACGUCUAUGAAAGCGAUCCUCAUUAUUAAGCUCUGAUCCAAACUUGCAACAAAUCAUACCCUGCAUUGCUCACAAACAAAAAAAGAAAAUAAAAAACAGUCAAUACCACUUUGGAGAAAAAAUUAAAUUCACUUAGUACAAUGGGGGUUGAUUUCUUAGACCACUCAAUUAAUAGUUAUUAUCUCAGAAAGUCAUCAUUCUUCUUGAUUUCAAUUUUCUUCAACAACAACAAUAAAAAAAUGACUUCCUAAGAUAAUAACUAUCUAUAGAGUGACCAUCUAAGAAAUCAACUCGUACAAUGGGCAACAUUCAUCCCAACCUCACAACUUUCCAUCCAUUCCAUGACUUGUACUAACAAAAUAACUCAUAAAGUUACAAUCUUUAUUAUGUUAGUGGCAAGAGAAACAAAUGUAAGUGAUCAUGAAUAGAAUAGCAUGCAAGUAAAGAUUUUAAAAAAACCCAAUAGCAUUAAUUUCAAGAAAACAUGAGGUAAAGCACAUAGAAGUUCAGCAUUUCAAAGAAGUAAGAAAAAGAGAGAGGAUUACAGGUUGAGGAGGGUGUCUUGAGGCAUUGCUAAUGGAAGAUGGUGAAGGAAUCAAUGAAACCAAAGAGGGAAGUGUUGAAGCAAAAGAGACCAUUCCUUCUGUGUUGCUAUUAAUUUCAAGAUUCUGUGUGUGCAGCACAGGGGAGAAGAAAUUGAAAGAUAGAAAUGGUUGGAAGAGUAGUGAAGGAGAGAGGAUAGUGAUGAGUGAGUGGGGCCUUCAAAAUCUUUAGUUGUGUUGUGUUGAAGACAAUUGUGUUAUCCUAUCCAAACUCCAAGUUAGAUUCUAAAUUUAAAAAUAAUUAUAAUGUCUUUUUUUAACCCUUUCUUUAUAAUUUUAAAUAAAAUACUUUUUCCUUUUCUUUGCAAAAAUAUAUAACUAAACAUAAUUCCUUUCUUCGAAAAUUUCAAAUACAAUAAGAAAAUAUUUUAUUUGUAUGAUCAAGCACCUACUAAAGGAAAAAUAUCAAUUUAUAGCCAAAUUUAUGCGAGACCCAAAAAUAUUUAUUUAUUGUAAUAGAAACUACCUUCGCCGAAAUUUGCCCUUUUUUUUCCGUCUCUCUCAAAUUCACUAUUGAUAAUAAUUUGAUAUCUUGAGCUAUUUAUCUUUGUUCGUCAUCUCCGCCUGCUUGAUCUUCAGGUCAGUAUUAUAUCUCUCUGCUCUAUUUACCUUUUUUUUUUUCUUCAGUUCGGAGUAUUUGAUUUGGACCUAGGGUUAUAAACUGGUGAAUGUAUGUAUUUUCCAAUUUGUACUUAUGGUAAUUGAACAUAACUUCUUAUAGGGUUCUUUUUGAUAUAUCGAAGGAGUAGGGCUUCAAUUUAGUUUGUUUUGAUCUUUCGAGCACCUCUCUGCAUUCAAUAGUUGGUUAAAUGAUUUGAUUUGUUGGAGCUGCAGCAUCAUAAGCAAAUUAUAUUGUUAGAUUUUUGUUGUGAGCGUCCUGUUUGGAUAAGCCAUCUUGGAUUGAUUCUUGACGUAAUGACAUCAGAAAUUAGUACACUCUACAUAGGAAUUUUACUGCUCAAUUGUAUUUUCAUGUUGAUGAUAUUGGUAAAUAUCAGUUAUAGUUUGUUGUUUAGGUUUAAUGUCUAACAUUCGGCUGCAUUUUGAUAUUUAUACCGUUCUAUAGUAGCAUAAAGAGGGAAGAAUAAGGUCUUUCAUUUACUACAUUUUCUUAGCUAAAAAGACUGGAAUUUUACAAUAUUCUUACUCUUCUUUGCUUCAUGAUCAACGACUCCAAGCAUUAGUUAUAUGGUAUAGUUGUUACAGAUUACCAACUUCUUACUAUAGCUGAAUGUUUCACAAAACACUUCUUAUUUUGAUUAAUAAAUGAAUAGAUAUUGAAGCUGUGCAAGUUGCUCAAAAGAGUUCGGUUACUCUGUGUUUUACCUGUCUGAAUUUUAUUUGUGAUUUGUAGAUGAUUUGGGAAAUUUAGGAAAUCUUAUGGCGGAUAGGGCUUAUGAAAGGCACUCAGCUGACUACUUAUGUCUGUGUAUGUUAAAAAGGGUAUUUCACGGUUGUACCUCCAGUUUCUAUGUUUGUUGGUUGUGGGUAGCCUUAGAGAUUAUGAAGAAUGAAAAGAAUUGGAGGAGGGACAGAAGGUAGGGUCUAUUGUUGCGGAGUAGAGAGGCCUGACGACUAAGUACAUGAACCUUAAAGAUGACUGAACCUAAUACUAAAAGUUUUCAAACAAUCAUGCAGCCUCACCUAAUCUUCAAAAUAAAGCUUGCAAUUGCUUAAUAAUGAGGUGGAUAGUUAAUACAGGAUCAGCAUACCUAUAUUGUGGAACUUGGAACAAACAGUCAGGAACUUGACUGGCAAGACAAAUAAAGCAAGCUGGCAAGACCAAUUAAAGUGUGUUGCUUGUGAACUGAUAGAGUCUCGCAUUUCUUUUUCUUCUAUAAGAAAAACUUAUUAUACUUCAAAUAGUCCAAGAAAAGUUGAGUUGUGAGACAAUUGGUGCAGAACCAAUGAAUGUACAUGCUUCAUGUGCUGAGUUCAUUUCCCUAGCCUGUGGAAAUGCAAUCUGCAUUAUAGAAACAGAUAUAUAGAUUUUCUAAUUUGUUAAUAUUAGUUGCUUCAUAUUCAAUUUGUUGCUGCGGCUUCAUAUAUUGUAUUCUGGCCACAAAGUAACACAAAAAAUUUAAAAGGAAAAAUAAAGACUAAAGCUUUGAUGGUAAACUGGAGUAAUAUAUAUAUAAUAGCUGCACAAAUCUAACUACUAGGUCCUAUCCUGCGGGGAAUACGAGCAAUUAGUUGGUGAUUUGAGACAGAUAGUUGAAAUAUUGAUGACUUCUCAUGUGGAAUCAGUCAAACCUAAGGUCCAGUCCUUCCUAGCAAGCCCGUAAGAUAUUAAUGGGUCUAAAUCAAAAAGGUAACUACAAUGUUAAAUGAAGAGACAGCUUAGAGUAUUUGCAUACACCUUGUAGUUAUUCUUAUCCAACAAUAUAUCAAAAGAUAUCAGGAUAUAAAAGACAAGCCCUUCACACUUUUUCCACAAUGUUGUAGAGUUGAGAGUGGUAUAGAUGUCAAAGUGAUAAUUAGGAUAUUAAUUCGGGGAUCCAAAAUAAGCAAAUAAUAUUCUGGAGAUCCUCUUUAAUGAUGAAUUGGAAAACAGUUUGAGUCCAUGCUGCCUUGGUACACACAAGGCGUUUCUUUUUGUUAGAACUAUUAUACUUAAGAGAUAUAUCACAUAAUCAAAAAGGUAAGAUAGGAACCCUAUUUUGAAGAGGAGUCCUACUGUGAAUGCUAGGAAGCUUGGUAGACGAAAGAAUUGCUAACAUAUAUGUAAAACACAUGACUCUCAAAACUUUUUAUAUAUCAAAACACUUUUUUUUUGAGACAGCAACAAUAGACCACUUACUUUUUUUGAUCAGGUAAAAGAUUUUGUUAACAAUAGCAGGGUCAUCUUGGCCGUAUACAUGAGGUAUACCCAAAAAAAAAGAAGGGAAACGUACAAAAUAUGGUUCUCUCCAAUAGACACCCAAUUCUUUAUACAAACAGGAACUUCAUUUGUGCACCAAAAGAAAAUAAGGGAUCGGAGAGUACUCCUCAAAUGAGCAAAGCUCGUCUCCACCCCUUCAAAAGCUCCCCUAUUUCUCUCCCUCCAAACGACCCACAUAAAAACUAGAGGAGUAACAUUCCAAUCCUUGUGUCUUCUUCUCCUAGCUCCACUCUUCCAGCUGAACAUCAACACCUCCACGGAUGUUGGCAUUACCCAAGAACACCAAACCAUCUAAAGAUAUCCUCCCAUAACCUUGUAGCGAAUUUGCAAUGUAACAGAAUGUGGUCCGCAUCCUCACCCGCCUCCAUUCAAAGAAAACACUAGCUCGUAAAUGCAACCUUCUGUUUCCUAAGAUUCUCUGCUAGAAAAACCUCCCCUCUAGUAUCUAAGCGAAGAAGCACACGUUUCUGGGCAUCUUAGGAAUCCAGACCGAGGCAUGUGGAAAACUAACUUCUGCCCUGACCAGAAGCUUCUCAUAGAAGGACUUAACUGAGAGCGAAUUGUUAUUCCCAACUCCAACUCCCAGUAUCGGGUCUGUCAAUCAGCUGGAAGACCUUUAAUGAUACAAGUUAAAGUAAAGUUUCAGUGGGAUAUUGCGUAUUCAGUUGAUUGUAUACAAAGAUAUAUUAUUACAAUAUACGUUUGUAUGCAUUUCUUUGCUUUCCAGGACUAUCUACAUAACAUGGUUCUUCGUUUUUAAGAGUUCAAGAAAUUUGCUACUUCAUCAAAAAUAUUUUUUUUUGGGAUCCGAUGCGGACACAGUUGAGAUUCAGACAUGUUGCAUAUUAUUCUAGUUUAUGUUUUGUUUUCAGCAUUUCUAUAGAUUAUUCUAACCAACAGUUAAUACACAUUAUUAGCAGCAUAUAGUUACUUAUUGCUUUUAUUUUUGAGAAAAUAGCCAAAAUCCCCCUCAACCUAUUAGCCAAUUCUUAACUACACACUUAUUCUAUUACCUCCCUAAACUUUUUAAAUAUGGAAUAAUCACCUCCCUAAAAAGUCAUAACCAGUUUUAUGUCAAAGGUGUGCAACACACGCGAUAAAUCACUGUACAUUCAUUUUUUUUAAUUCUUUUUCUUUUUUUCUUGUAAAAUAUAAACCUAAUCAAAAUAUUAAUUUAAUAAUCCCCUGUAAGAUUAUGUAAAGUUUCCAUUUUUAUCUAAGGUAGAAAUUAAAAUUUACAAAAAAAUGCUUUCAAAUAGAGAUUGUUUUUCCAAAAUACUAAUGAUUUCUUUAGAGAAUAAUAAGAGAAAAUGAGGGAAAAAAUCUCUACACCAAAUUAAAGAAGAAGAACAACUCCAUAGCUAGUCUACAUAAACUUUCAAUUUGAAAUCGAACCCAAAACAAAAAUUCACAAAUAAGAAUUCACAAAUGCGGGAGUGAAAAACAAAUUUGGUAGAAUGGAAUUAGAAAGUGAAAUUUCAAAUUCACCAUUGUUGGUUCAUUUUGGUUUUGACUUCUUUUUUAUUAUUAUUUUUUUUUGCUGAAAUUAUGAGGGGUUUAAGAAAAAACUUGAACUCCAUUUUUUGAGCUUCAUAUAUGAAAGUUUCUUAUGAGUUAGGUGAUUGUUGUUGCUAAAACGGUUGAUGUAUGAUUAACUAAGCAUAAAUCAGUAGCUACAAACUGAUUUGGAGUUCCUAGAGACGAAAUUUAGAAGACCACCAUUGAAGGACUUUGAGAAAAACUUGAAGAAAUCAUGAAAUGGGUAUAACAAUUUUUUGAUAUAAGAAAAGGGAAAGAAUUAAAAAGAAAUGAAUUAAUUAUAUAAUCUCCAAUGAGAGACUGCCACAUGGACUAUUUAAUUCAAUUUUAGUCAUUUUAUAUCUUUUUGUUGAACCCUUACGUGCCUACAAGAGGUGUAUUCACCUUCUUGGACAGGUCAGCGUUUAAGGGUCACAAAAUAUCGAAAAUAAAAUGUUCAGGGGGGUAAUAGGACCCCCGUGAAAUAUAAGUGUGUAGUUGAAAAUUGGUCAAUAGAUUAGGGAGGCAUUUGGCUAUUUUCUCUUUAUUUUUGGAUAUACUAGACCAUAUGCACUAUCCUUGUGGAAGUAAAAGUUGUCAUAUCAUAUUUGUUUUUAUUUUACUCCAUUACUCGACUAAUAUUCAAAUUGUUUCAUCUAUUUCUUCAAAUAAUGAUGUUGCAGAAGUUCUUUUUCAAUUUACUCUAAAUUCAAACUUUAAAUAGUUUUAACCAUAUCAAUUGGCCAUCUGAUAAUCACCACCUCCUGUUAGCAUAUGUAUAGUUGAAGCUCUGUGAAAGAGUGAGAAGUUGCUACUAACUUUGAGAAUCAUGUAUUUUACUAGAUUGGUUAUUUCAAGUAUACUAAUGCAGACUUGAGUGUAUUACGUUGUGUAAGAAUAUUUAAACUAACUAUUUUGGCGCUCUAAAAGGAAAAUGGUUAUAGUGAUACAACGACCACUACCUUUACCAUAAUAAUCAGGUUUUGAGAUCUGUGACUUUGUGCUAAAAUUUGCUUUACACUUCCUUGCAUCCGGUAUGAUUGCAUGAAAGCAGAUGAGCCACACAAUCACUUGUUAAGUGCCUCUGCUGGUAAGAGCUGUUUUAAUCUGGCUUUUGACUCUGUGUACUUGAACUUCAAAAACUAAUUAAAAUUUAGAACACUAUUAUAAACGUGUUUAUCUGGUAAUGUUCAUUUUCAAAACAGAAAACUAUGAUAAACUAGCAUAUUAUCUACAUGUUUAAUUUUUGUUAAUUUAUAUGGAUUUUUCUUUAACGAAGUCGGUGAGAAUAUCUCAAUCAUGCCCCUCAAUUGGUAACACUACUUAGUGAUUGUCGAGUGCUGGUAACUUUGCUACUUCUAUGUCUUUCUUUCCCUUGUAAUGGACUUUGCUGAUACUUUUUAUUCUUCUUGUUUGUUAGCUUUCUUACUGGAUUAAUUACUUUUGCAGGAAGUUGUGGAUACCUUACCAUACAACAAAACUAUUGAUUUUCUGAGGUUUCUCAUAGAACUCAACCAACUUACGGAUAUCAAGAAACUUGUAAAGCAAAGCGACAUAGAGAAGACCUUGCUUUGCAGUCUUUAAUGUGGAUUAAAUCCUAAACCUUUGACGUCCUCAUUUUUUAAAGAUAUAAACAGGGAGAUUUCACACACCGUUCAGAAAUAAUGGCUUCGUUUGGAUCUCUUAAGCAGGCUAUCUUUGACAGACAAACAAGAAAACAGCAAUACCAAGAUCACAUACGAGGCCUGAAUGCUUAUGAUCGCCACAAGAAAUUCCUCAAUGAUUAUGUUGGAUUUUAUGGAAGAGAGAGAUCCACACAAGAAAAGUUGCCUCUUAGAACAGAUCAGGAUACUCUUAAAGAAGGAUACCGAUUCAUACGAACUGAGGAAGAUGAUAUGAAUCCAUCUUGGGAGCAAAGGCUGGUGAAGCGCUACUAUGACAAGCUAUUCAAAGAAUAUUGUAUAGCUGAUAUGACACACUAUAAGAGUGGCAAGAUUGGUCUGAGAUGGAGGACCGAAAAGGAAGUGACAUCUGGUAAAGGGCAUUUUGUCUGUGGUAACAAACACUGCAAUGAGAGAGAUGGUCUAGCAAGUUACGAGGUGAAUUUUUCAUAUGUUGAAGCAGAAGAAAACAAACAAGCCCUGGUGAAAUUGGUAGCCUGUGAGAGAUGUGCAGAAAAGCUUCUUUAUAAAAAGAGGAAAGAGAAGGAUCAAUCUAAAGAAGACCUGAAAGAUAAGCAUCGAAGGAAAAGGGGAAGAUCUGUGAGUGAUGAUGAACAUAAGGAUGAUAAUUACGAACGAAGGAAAAUGGGAAGAUCUGUAAGUGAUGAUGAAAAUAAGGAUGAUAAUUACAAACCAAGGAAAAAUGAAAGAUCUGUAAGUGAUGAUGAUACUAAGGAUGAUAAUUACGAACGAAGGAAAGGAAGGAGUAGAGGGUCAAAGGGCCCAACUUCAUCUGAUAAUCCGGAUAAUGAGAAUAUGGAUGAGUAUCUGGAGGGAAUGUUUCCUUGACAGGAGGUUACUGAUGUUUUUGUAGAAAUUUUGAAGUUUUCAUUAAAUUUGUUUAGAUUGCAACUAGGUAUUUUUGUUUGGACAAUGGAGAGGAAAUUUGGUUGGAAAAGCUCGAGUAAGGUUGUAUUUUUGAAAGGCUAGACUGGUUAAGAAAUAUAUGAAGGAACGUGGAAACGCUGGAAGUGGGGAGCUCAAGUAUUCUAUUGGGUUGUCUGAUCAUCCAUUUAAAAUCAAGAAGUGUAGCAAGUGAUGUUUCUACUUAGUUUUCAACAGUUUUUUUGCUAAUAAGUAGCUCCUCGGAAUGUAAAUAUAUGAUCCAUGUACACUUAUGUUGGUUAUGAAGUUUACUCCUUUGACCUAAUGGAUGUCUCAUCUUCAAUAUUGUAGAUCAAUUUAACGCACAAGUUCAUUGAAAACGUAAGCCUGUAUUGUUUGUGUAAUUUUAGUAGGCAGUGAAAUUCAUGAUAGUUUGCUGCUUGUCAAGUACCUGCUGGGCUUCAUUGGUUAUCAAAAAGGAUGAAAAUGGACUUCACCUUUGGUAUUUGUGAAAAUAGUUAUUCAGUUAAAUAUGCACUGCUAUUUAACUAUUUCAAUCAUGUGUCUCAACUCUCAAGUAACUGUAUUUAAGUCAAAAGUAGCACUUAUAAAUUGCUCAAUUCCAAGUACCAUGUACAAAGAGACUAAUUAGGGGGAGUGUUGAAUUGAUUAGCUUUCUUUUGUUGAGAAUGUCAAGAAUAAACAGAUACACCCAAAAAAGAAGGAAAAAAAAGAGCUAAAUGUAAAUAAGAAAACAGACAUCUCCAUAAUGAGACCCUCCAUCUAUACAAGUGUGACAUUUUAUACUCUUAAUUUUGACUUGAUCAACUUCCCCCUCAAGGAAAGCCUCAUCUCAAUCAAACUCCUCUCUCUGCUGAAUGGAGACACCUAUUUUCUUCAAUCAUCUACACCUAUAAAGUCACUUGGAACAAUCUCUUUUCAUUGUUUAUGUACAUUUCGCAUGCUAAUAAGCUCGUUGCCUGCUCCAGCGUCAAUAAAAUAAGACUGAAACAGCAGCACUAAUGCAACACAUGGGUCUUGUGUUUUCAUCUUAACUACCUGAUACUUUGAGAAUUAUUCAUGUAUGACGAUUCCUUUCGACAUAAACAGUCUGGUAGAGGAUUUACAUAGAAUGCCUCCUCUGAACGAAACCUAUCUGUUCCCUUUGUACCUGAAAUUGGCCCUUUCCUCUUUCUUGGCGAUCCUUGCCUGCACAAUCAAAAAUAAUAAUUAAAAAAAAAUAGAUCAGAUACCAUUGUAUUGAUUCUUGGCAAAAGUUCUCAUAUCUUCAAUCUAAUGACCAUAAGAAAAAUGAGUUUAUGCAAUGCAGAUGGAACAACAUACUAGAACUGAGAUCCAAGAGGCACUCUAAUUGUCACAAGGUUUCAAAGAUCUACUGAAGAAGUAGUAAACAGUACUCAAAAUUGUAAUUUCAGUUUUCAUCUCUAAAAAUGGAAGCGAAAAAGAUAUCACUCAUUACUGGCCAGGGCCAGGAAAAAACUUCUACAUCCAGUUGCAAGCCUUUCCCAAACACACAACAAAGAAAGUACAUCAUCAGACUCCGGAAAGAUAGGACAAGAAUAAUUGCAAGCAGAUAACUGUUAGAAUUCAUAUAGAAAUAUAACCACUACAUCAGCAGGACCUUCAUCAGCACCUUGAUUAUAUUUCACAAACAGAAAAUAAUCUCUACAUUUGACAUACCGCCUCCUGUGGAUUUCAAUAAUGCGAUUGGACAGAUUUUUCCCCUCUUUCAUCGUACCCUGGUCAAUUUUGUCAAAAAGCCGGACAAGAGUUCUCCUGGUGAUUACAAAGAAAGUAUUAGCAGGAGAUAGUUAUAAUCCUCCAAGCAGACUAAAUACUACGUGGGAACUAAAAGAUACUGAAUAUAGCAUGUGUAGAGAGGAGGUCUUGCCUAUCAGGAGAUAUUGUUUUCCUAUGCCCCAGAAAUCGACGAUGUCCCUCAACUGCUCUUGCCAUAUUUCCCGAGUACGUAGGAAUGAAUAUGUCACUCUCAAUAGACACGAUAUAGUCUAGGGCAGCCAAUUGAGAUGCAUGAUUGACAAAUGGCUCAAGCUCCUCAAUAGAAGCCAACUUUUCCUGCAAGAAAGAUGCAAAUCACUCUUUAAGUAAGCGGAGCCUAUCACAUAUAUCAGAAGUACUUUGUUUUGAGAUUAUAUGGCUUCUAUGGAAAUUUGCUUCAUACGUAGGGGAUCGAGAGCAGAAGGAACAUGCCUUGGCAGAUUGAAAUCAUGAAAUUGAUAUUUAAACUUCAUAAGCGAAAAAAGGUAAAUACACAAUUGGUUCAUGCCAAUAUUGAUGUUGCAGAUUCAGCACCUGAACAGACUAACCAAAUAAGUUCUCUUUGGGAUCUCAAGAAGCAUCAAACAAGAAGGUGAACUCCCUGACUGAAAAACAAUGAAUUUAAUUUGGUCCGGAUAGCUGAAAUUUUUUAGAGACUUUGCUCAUCUCAAUGGACACCACAAUUGCCAUUUCAUAUAUUGACAGAGCUUGAAAUGGAUAUCCGAGUGACCCGAUUUCUUUAUGACAGAUUACAGUUAAAAUUUUACAAAUCUUUCAAAAGAUCCAACACAAAUUCUAUUAUCUUUUCCCGGUUCUGUUCUAUUCACUUGCUGAUGAGCACAAACUGUUUUUGCAUAACACAAAAACAACGAUCAACGCACACUGCUAUAAAGAAAGACAAUAUCAAUAUUAAGCAAAAUUUGUGGAUGCUUUUAUUCUAAAUCACUCAAAGGAAAUGUUCAGAUUAUUAUGCUGACUGGACCAACUUAAGUUGUACUAGCUAUGUUUUUCAAAUGCAUAUACAGACAUUGAGGCCAAGAUUUGAGCACAUCGAGUUUUUGAAUUAGUUUCAUGUGAUCCCCCCACUAGUCUAUGUGGAACUAUUUUCAUCUUUUAUUUUAGUUUAAUUUGAAUGUAAAAUAACUCUAGAGUUGUGAACUAAAUGGACUUGACUCAAUGUACUUACGGUUAAGUCUUGGUUAUUGUUUUCAUCAUCAUGUUUAAGUUGUUGAGACAGUAUUGCUUGUUUAAACAUAUUAAGUAUUGCCUUGAGGUUGACGAACGAGUCCAUCAGGUUCUGGGUCAUGUGCCCAAUUUGGUUUUUUUUUUUUUUUUUUGGAAUCAAUUGGGUGGUGAUAUGAUGUGUUUGAUAGCACCCACAAUAAAAUUAUAUCAUCAUGUUGAAACUAUAUAUGCCCAUUUCAAAUUCUUCAAUUUUUGACCACUUAUCAUACCUUCUGAGUUCAUGGGCAUGGACAUUCAUAAAAUCCACUAAAAGUUACAUAGAAAUCCACAAUCAAGUGAGAUAUCUAACUAACAAAAAUCAUCCAAGACAUUUUAAGCAACAAUGCAAGGAAGGUUUGCAUACCUUAUUCAUUAAUAAGGGGUAGCGCAACAACAGAUCAGACAUAUGGGAAUCACCCCCAUAUAUCUCUCCAGCAGCAAUAUAUAUAGGAGUGUUUGAUGGAAAUCCAAGAGCGGAAAGGAAUAGUCCAACUUCUCUUGGAGUUAAUGGACAAUAGCCUUUACUUCUCUGUUCUACAGGGUCAAUUUCUUUCACCUUCCACCAUGUGGUGUUUUCCCUACAAAUGAUCAAGAUAAUGAAAUGACCAUCAUCAGAUUACAAAUUCAAACAUAGUCAAUGGCAUGCUACUAAUUCAAAUAAAAGGAGAGAGCAUUUCUAAAAGCUUGGUGGAUGUGACAGGGGAAGGGCUCCAUAUUCAGGCCAAUCACUAGAUUUCUUUUUAGAAGAAAUGUACCAAUCAGCAUGGCAUCUGGAGAUCCUUUUCUUUGUGAAUGUUCCUUUUUUUUUUUAACUAACUUCUUGAAAUGGGUUGUUUUAAAGUUUGUAUACUAUACAAUUGAACCCCACAGGAACCAAAAUAGGAGACCAGUGAGCUAGGCAUCUCACACGUGUCUAAUACUCAAAACAAAAUGAAAGCAUAUGGUUGAUGUUCAACCUGUUAAAAAGUGUUUUUGCUUCUUAGCAGACAAACUUUUGUUUGAAGAGGUCAAAUUUUACCCAACAAUUAAUCACAAGCACAUGCUCUGGUUAUCAAAUAACUAUACGUCAUAAUAAUCCACCUAAUUGCCUUCAGUUCCUCAGCUUCUUCUGGGGAUAGAUCAUGUGUGCAUCCACUAAAAGCAAGCAUGUCCUUUUCAAAUCGCAAAUGUAAAGCAAUAUAGGGGCCAUAUGAUCUCAUCCGAUCAACCAACAUCUGUAAAUAGAAGUUGAAAUCAAUGAAAUAGCUCAGGCAAAGAAACACUUGAACAUGUUUUUGAACUAAGCAUCAAUAAGUGGUAACCUUUCCCAUUGCUUCAAUCUUGGGAGCAAAUCGAAGGGCUUCAUAACAAGCUCGACAGCGCAGCUUCUGAAUAUCAGGAGGCAGGUUAUUAUUCGCCAAUCUUGAAUCAGACUUGGCAGCUCGAAUAAUCUAAAGAGAUUAGAUUGCAUCCAUUAGUUACAAAUGAACAUUAUUGCUUGUUUGGUACACAGAUUAGUUUUAUGUACCUGGUAUUCAUCCCACAGUCGUGCAAUCUCUUCCUCAUAGUAAUCCACACCAGACCAACUCCUAAAAUGUUUAACUGCUUUAGUUGCAGAUGCCAGUUCCUUCGGUAGCUUUUUGAUGACAUUUACAUCGUUUUUCAAAGAAUUAAUAAAAUGGUCUUCAUCAAAGACAUCGGAGAAGUUGCUGCAAUUCAGGCAUAGAAGAGUAAAUUUUACCAGUUUAUGCACAAUUUAUGCAGCAAGUAUAAUACACUCAAUCCUUAAGGAUGAAAAGGAUGUUGAUCCCCUUGCAACAAACAGUUCAAAAUGAGCAUGAAACCCCAAAAAGAAAUUGCUCACUAAUGGACAUUACGCACCUAGAGUCCUGCCAAAGUGAGCGCUUAUCAAGCUCAGGGAUCACAAGAGUAGCAUUUAUGAUACGAGCAACAGCAACCAUGUCACAUAUCUGCAACAUAACAACUUUUUCUUUCAGCAGAAAGCCACAAACAAUGACAAGUAAAUGUUUUAUGCAUACAUUAUGUGAACUUUACACGGAUGACAUAAUUUCAUGAAUCCACAAUAAAACGAAAAAAAUAUUCAUUAAGGACCAACACCUUAUAAAGAAAAGAAUUAACAUGUAUACUGGUUUAGGGGAGAUGAAUUGUCUUCUAGAAGAUUUGAAAUGUAAACCAAAUGCUAGAAAUAAGGGGCAUAAGACAUAUUCUUUGAAGAAACUCAUACUGAGUUAGAUUAUGAUUAAUUAAAGAUGCAUAUUUAACAUAACAGACUUCCACUCAUCCUCCUCCCACCAAAACACAACUUCAUUUUCUCUGAGUAAAAGUAAUGCCUGGUGAUAGAUGACUUGGGUAUGAUCAGCAGUCAUCAGUUAUUCAAAAAAAAAUAAUGAAAGAAGGUAAGUCAUAGCACUAAACUUUAUGAAUCAUUUCUUUCCUUCAAAAGAACAAAUCCUAACUUCUAACAAUUAUGUAAAGGAUUAAGUCCAAAACUUAUGUUUUAGUCAUUUGGAUCUUUAAAUAAAGAGAGACCUCAACGGUCUGAACCAUACUUCAAAUUUAGUGUAUUGUCCAACAACAUAAAUAUUCCAGUGGAGCAUGAUACUGAAAGGAAAAAAGAAAAUAAUAAUCCUGAAAUUUAAGAGAAACAGACAUCAUUUAUAUGUGAAAAGGAAAAGAGAUGCAAAGAAUACAGACCCCAGCUCUCAUCUGAUUGAGCCCACCAUUGGCAUGAACCAGCAGGUAGCCUCGAGACUCUGGAGGAGCUGGAGGUAAAUUGCAAAUACAGAUAAGCAACAUAGAAAAAUCAUAUACAUUUGAUUCAAGAAAGCACAAAGCUACUCUCUAAUAUUGUAUUGUAUGGGAACAAGGAACUGCUUACGUGUAUAUAAUGGACUUGCAGCAACACAAGGAACAUGGUCGCGAUUUGGGGGAGGUUUCCAUAACUUUUCCAAACUUCCAUUUCGACUUGCAACAUCUAACUGUCAAAUCUAAAGGAGUGAACAUGAAAUAUGCAUAACUACAUAUUUACAUAGUCCUAUGUCGAAUGUCUACAAACAUAUGUCAAAUCAUACCAGACCAAACACUAAUUCCAUCAUAAACUCAAUUUACUUAAAGAAAGAAUAUUUUUUCCAUACCCCCACAAAGUGGAAUUACACAGGGUAUGCUGUUGUUGAGAGAUAAAAUCGAAAUAUAUAUAUUUGAGGGAGUAUAAAACCUUGCGAGCAGCGAGAGGAGCCUUUGGCAAAUGGGGUGGGGCAAGUUCUUGAAUCCAGCUUCUUUCUCUACUCAGCUUUUGGGAUGAAAAUUCAUGUUGCUAUAACAAUAAAACACCCCAGAUCAGUACCUAAACCUUGAAGGACAACCAUAACCGCGAACAAAUGUCAAAAUGAAAGAAAUACUGAAAAAGUAUUUUCAGCAUCAACCAUCACCACAAAACAGGAAAAAAUUGACAAAAUCCAGAAAAUUAAUGAUACAAUUGAAUUUCUAGUUAGCAUUGAUAGUUGCAGCUUAUUUUAGAUCAACAAAUAAACCCACUUGAAAUCCCUUAUCUAUCUUUUGAGAAAUGAAAUAGCCCUAGUUUCUAGCUUAGCUCAUAAUUUCACCCUGUUUUAGCCUUCCCUGCAUUAUUUUUUCUUCAAGUUCAGUUAAGUUCCGUUUACAGAUUGCAUCAAUUAAUCAACAAUUUAGUCAAAUAAACCUAAAAAAAUACAAAUUUUAUCAGACCCAAUACUAUAAAUCAUAACAAGAAAUUACACCUCAACACCAACUCAGCUGAUUUCAGGUAUAUGAAUCUUCAAUAUCCAUUUCGUUCUAUGUGACACCGUUUCCAUUAGUAAAAGAAAGAAAGUCAUAACGAGCAAAAUUAGAGAAAACCCAAUAUAGUUCAAGAAAUGUACCGUGGGAAGUUUAUCAGGCAACUUGGUAACUUCUGAAGCAGGAAAUUCGACAUGAACAUAUAGAAGAGCCAUAAGGGCUAUUGCAGCGAUUGCAAAAGUUAACAUCUUGCGCACAAUAGACACUUUUCUCCAUCUUUUCUUCUGCAUCUUCAACAACACCACCCUUUUCUUUCAAGAACCCAAAAUACACAAAAUCCCAGACACCCUUUUGAUAUGUAUGGCUGAUUUUGAUUCUUUGUUGCGUGGAAUUCGUAACUGUGUUUGAUUCUUGAAAGUUGAAAUCUCUGAGCUUGGUGGGGGUUAAGCUUUUGGCUUUUUUAAUGGCAUUUAUAUGCAGUAAUUAGUUUCCAUUAUUAUUCAGAGUUGGGGGUUUUGGGUACUAAAGCAAAGAGUGAGAAUAACAUAUCCGGAUUGAGGUGGAUAGGUAAGUACUACUAUUUCAUCCUUCAUUAAAUUUUGAGUUCUAGCCUCCUGAGUUACGAAUUUACCUUUGUUAGGAAGCCCUAUGUUGGACUUUCGUAUACAAAUUCAAAUUUAAUCAGAUUUUAAUAUGGAUAUAGAACAAAGGAUCAAAAAUUAAAAAGAAAAAAGAGUGAGAAUAAAUAGGGAUGAGAAUAAUGGACCCAUUACAAUGAGACACACCAAGUAAAAAAGGUCAAAACAGGAUUAGUAGAUCUCUUUGUAACCUAAUUAUUCAUCUUUAUUCAUCACUAAAAAUCAAACUCUUAAAAUUUCAAAAUCCUAAUUACAUAUUUAGUAGGUGUUUGACUUGGCAUGAUAUCACUUUUAAUUAUUAUCAUUUAAUGUUACGAAAUAAAAGGAGUAAUAUUUAAAAAUAGACAUUUGUUUUAAGUAAAAUGAACAAGUAAAAAUGAACUAGCAAUAGUAAUUUACUACUAAUACUACUAUUUAGAUUGAAUCAGCUCUAAGAAAAUCAAAAUCCAAUUUUAAGAAAUUAAUAAAUAAGGAAAUGCGUAAAAUUAAUUUCUUUUCCUUCCAAUGUAAAUAGUUGAGGAUUAGCAAGCUGUCAAAUUUGAAAAUUUCACACAAAAUAUAACAAAUAAACGUGCCAAUUUUAGGAUAAAAUUCCUAAGAAAAUCUUGAUUAUAAGUUUUCUAAGUUAAGAAAAUCUUGACUAUACUUAGAUCUAGAGGUGUAGAAAUUAACAUACGUGAAAUGUACAAUUGUUUGAAUUAACGAUGAUAAUAUUUUGCGUAAUUCAUUAUAUACGCAAGUAAAAUCAUAGUAAAAAUUGAUGAAUAUGAAAUACUAUCACAUAAUUAGAUUAGUUACACUUUGCCGUUGUAAUAGAUAAAAAUUUAGUGAUUCUAUGUUAAAUCAACUUGUGACAUUCAUAACCUACUAAAAAUAAGUCUCAUUUAAAACUUUCAUUUGUUUCAUCUAUUUUUUUUUUUACUUCUAAAUAAAAUUAGAAUGCUUAAAGCCAAAUUACAAUAAGAGUCAUUAAAUAUAAACACCUGCACACAAUAUCAAUCAUAAUUUAGAGUUGCUUGUUUCUGUCUUUGACUUUCUACAAGUAUUAUUUAUAUUAGCCUCCCUCAAAUGGUAAUAAAAUAUUUGAAAAUAAAAACGAAUAUUUAAGGGGGAGCAGAAUAAAAACAGAUCUCAAGAUGAUCUAAGCUAUUAGUUGCAUUUAAUAUCCACCUUAGUAAUUGACAUGAUGUAUGCCUUAGAAUACGUCUAUGUUAUCAUCACAAGAAAAUUAAAUUGGCAUUAUCCUUUCUAUUUUAUAUAUCCAACAAGGAACCUAUAUAUGUGUAUAUAUAUAUAUUUUUAAAAAUCCACUAGUAAUGGAAGUAUGGAACUAUGUAAGAAGUUAUUUUACACCUAUAAGAGAUAAGAAUCCUGUAAAUAUUUUGUAUGAAAUAAUACACAAGUUGUAAAGUCUUUCCAAAAAUAUACACAUAACGGAAUCAUGACACACAAUAAUAUUUUCUUUUUAUUUAUUUAUCUUCGUGGUGAAUAUAUAAGAAUGACAUAGAAAUGUUUAUAAUUAAUAUAUAUGUUGUUAUUAAGGAAUUGAAGUUAGAUAGGGACCAAAAAACUGAAAAUCUUAAAAAUUAAUAGCAUGAUAUAAUUAUAAAUAUUAGCUAUAUCAAAGCUAUUGCGUCUAAAUGCGCUCAUACACACGUAAUAUUUUGCGUGAGUCAUUAUCAAUAAUUAAAAUUUAUAUAAAAAGAGCAAUAACGUAGAUUUAUCAUUUUGGUGUAUAUAUAUAUGAUCUUGUUGAAAUAACUAUCUUUUUUCAUUAUAUUAUGUGCAAAAUGUGAAGUCCAAAAGCAAUGUAUGUACUAAGCAUGGGAAGCCUAUGUGCACUAGACUUGCUAUUUGUUUUCACAUAUGCUUAUAAUUAUGAUUUUUGUAUAAUGGUAUGGACCAUUUAUCAAUUUUAAUAUCUAUAUAUCUAAUGUCAUCAAAGUUGGACUAUUAUUAAUAAUAAAAACAAUUGUUUACAUACUUGCAGGAUUUUUCUCCUUUAUUUGUAAGAAACCAUUAAUGCCUCUAAAUUUGUAAUUAAUUACGUACCUGUAAUCUCAUAAUUGGUUUUGCUUGGCUUGAUCUGUCACCAUUAUCAUUUAGAUCAAUUCCAAAUAUGGACUCAGCUUUAGCUAUAGCUAUACAGCCUAAAAACAUCUUUUUUCAGUUCGAAUAUUAUUAUUUUUAAUUUUAGGAGUAAGUAUUUUGUGAAAGUUUGUUUUAUAAUACAAAUUAAUUAGAAGCAGUGUAACCAUUUCUAGAUAUAUAUUGAACUCACACCUAUUACGCGGAAGACUCGAUUUGAAGAAAAAAAGGUGGCAUUACAUUAUUGCAUCUUUUCACUAGGGAGAGUACAAAAUAGCAAGGAAAAAGCAACCUUCCUUGCAUUCUUUACUUCACCUAUUCUCUUUGAGUUCCCGUGACUCUUGGGCCCUCUUUUUUUUUUUUUUUUAAAUACUUUAUACCUUUUCAUCUGCAAGACGUCAAAGCUUGAGUGACCUUGUUGUGGAAAUAAAAUUAUUUGUAUUUUGCGUUUAUAUUAAAUAAUUAAUGUGACGUUCAUGAUAGAGGAGGACCAACGAGGAGGACUAACAGGUUUUUAGGCUAAUAAAUUUUUGAAGAAAGAGAACAUAUGAUGAUACUUUAGACGAAUCUCACAUCAGAAUAUAAAGGAAAAUGUGAAAGGCUUUAUAAAAAAUAACGAAGUUUAAAAGAUAUUAUUGAUGAUCUAGAGAAAUGCGAAUAUGAAGCAAAAUCAUAUUUUUUUCAUUUUCUAUUUACAAUUUGUAGCUCCAACAUUAUGCCAAAGCACAUGCAUAGUCGCGUCUCGCACUCUCAAACAUAGAGAAGCACAAUAAAUUUAUUGAUCGCAUGUUUUUUUUUAAAAUAAUUCAUGUGAUAUCAUAAUCAUCUUGUAUGUAUCUCGACUAAUUCAAUAAAUUACUUGUUAUUUUUCACUAGCACGUGUAUCAGAUAAUUAUUAUCUGAGGGGGGGGGGGGAUUAAGCUUUUGGCUUUUUUAAUGGCAUUUAUAUGCAGUAAUUAGUUUCCAUUAUUAUUCAUAGUUGGGGGUUUUGGGUACUAAGCUCUAGCAAUACUAGUCCCAUAUCCAAAGAAAAAAAAAAGGAGAAGAAAGGACAGAAAACACCACAAAACUUUAAUACUAAUAUAUAUAAUACUUCCCUCAAUAGUGCCAGUAUAAGUGAGCUACGUGUCUCCCAUUAUUACAGAAGAAAUUUAAUUCGACAUAUAUAUGGUACUCAUUUAUGCCUUAAGUUUUAACAAAUCUUGAAAUUAGUAAAGAACAUAAAGUGAUAAAACUAAUAAAGGAAAUGACAACCACUACAAGGGAAUAUAAUUAGCACCACUGUGUGAUAUUGUUUGGGUUUUUUCAUACUAUCAACAGGAGACUUUUUUUUAGAAGAAUCUUGAAGCAACAAUAAAGUUAUCUUUGUGUGACCUAUAGUCUUUAAUCUGUGAAAGUAGUCACUAAUCACUAAUGUUUGGAUUAGGUAGAUAGUCUACACCACAUUCUUUAAAAUACGGCCCUUCUUUAAAUUUUGCUAACACAAAAUACUUUAUGCAUCGAAAUGCUCUUUACCAUCUAUGUGAGACUUUGUUCUCAUAGUUAACAUAAACUUUGAAUACUUUAAUUCAUUAAUUAAAUGACGGUUUAAUUUAAUAAGCACCAAUAAAUUUAUAUAUUGAUAAUUUAGUUUGUAUCUUGCAUUUUGUUUUGAUAAUUUAUAUAUACUGAUCAGAGUUAGUUUCUAUAUACAGUAAUUAAUACUCAAUAAAAACCCACUAGGCACAAGUCAUUGCUCACAUAAGGACGUUGGGGAUAAUAUGGCACAUCAUAUUGUAUUACUUGUCAAAUUAAGUUUUAAGGCACAAUUCACGUUUAAAAGCUAGUUCAAAAUAAAAAGAAAAUUGUCCAAAUCUUAUAAUUAAAGAGCUCACGAUUCUCGCCUCAAUCCGGACAUUCUUUAUUCGGAGUUUCACUAUAUGGUAUGGAGUGUGACAUUCAAGGACCGGGCAUAUACUUACAACCCCCACAUGGUCCAAGGCCCCACGUACUGGACCUAAUGUGUUUGAUUUUGAUAUCAUGUAUUAAAUUAAAUCUUGAGUCUAACUCGCUUUUCAAAAACUAACUCAAAGGUUUUGAAUUGUCCAAAUAUUAUAAAGAGCACAAGAUUCUCAUCCUGAUCCAAUAUAAGAUCAUUUUCAUCAACAAUAUCCUUUGAUUCAUUAAAAUCAACGAACUACAUAUUGUAGCGAGAUGUUGCAUUUCAAAUAAAUAAUACAUCAUAAACAAGUCUUUGACAUUCAAAAUUAACUUUAAUAAUUAAGGAUAAAUAGAUAGAUAAUUAAGGAACAUAAUAAUCAAAAUGCAAAUUGAAGAUUUACUCUAAACGUGGGUAAGGGGAAAAACUCAAAAGCAUAUUGUCUACUAAAUUGUGAAGAAAAGAACAAAUGCACAUGGGGAUAUUAAGACCCUUGUCUAAGAUUUCUUGUACUUCACUUCCAUGAGAGAUUCAUUAAGUAGUGUCUUUAAUUUCAUGUGAUCAGUGAGUGUAACAAUUAAAUUUGCCUCAAAUUCAGCUGCUUAAUUUAAGGCACAAGCAAUGAAAUUAAGUUCGUUUUCUCCAUUAAAUGAUGUAAAUAUUGUAAUUUGUAAGUACACAUAACAAAAAUUUAACUAGAUGCUACUUCCUGUGUCUAUUUUUAAUUAACUAUACUUGUCAUCGAUAUUAAUCUCUAGCUAUAAUACCAAAUAUAAUAGCACAACCUGGCUAUGAUAUUGAUCUCUUUAAUUCUGUGUCUAGACUUGUAUAAUUUUAAAAUGUGUCACUACAAUCUAAAUUUUAUGCCUUUAAGUUUAAAUACCAUACAUAUCUUCCAUGUUUUGCCAAUAUUAUACAUGUUAUUUGUCUAAAGUACUGUAGUUGCUAAGAACAUUAAAAUAUUGUACCUAAUUGCAUAAGAAUUUUAAUAAGAACAAUAUGUUGAAUUAUUGUUUUUACAAACAAAAACAAAAAAAAUACUACCUACCUAGAAUGUUGAACUAGUAAAAAGUCAAUGAAACCUCUAUCGUGACAUUCCAUUAGUCGUUGAAACGUGAUAAAAACUUCUAAAUUCUACCAACUACUACCUCCGUCCACUUUUAUUUGUCAUGUUCUGCUAUUCAAAAGUCAAUUUGACUAAUUUUCAAAACUAAAUUAGAUUACAUUAAUUCGAUAUUUUAAACAUAAAACUUAGAUAUUCAAAAACUAUAGUACUAAAAGUACUAUAAAUUAAAUUGCAAUUUCUUGCAUAUCAAUAUGACGAAAAAUACACCGUAAAAUGUUAGUCAAAGUUUUUAUAGUUUGACUCUAAAAAAGAAAACCAUGACAAUUAAAAGCGGACGGAGGGAGUAUUUUGUAAUGGAUAUUACUGGUGCUAUUCUUGUAAUGGGUUAUUAAACAUUUGAUUUGACCGAUACGGAUUGUGGUGCUAAUUAGACUGCUUCCUCCUUAAUUAGAGAUUUCAAAUUUCGAGCCUUGAAUAUGAAGAAAAUCUUAUUGGGAGAGUCACCCCUCGAAUGGACCUUGCAGACUGCAGUGCGCAAUUAGUUGGGGUUCCAAUACGGACUUCAAACAUCUGGUGGGAAAUAAAAAAAUAAAAAUUGAUUUGACUAGCACACACAUUUUCAUUUUCCGGUCCCAAAAAAAAGAACUAUUUGUUUAAUUAAAAAUAAAAAAUUGAGAAGUCUUUUGAUAUGCAAAUUGUUUUAUUAUACGUAAUGAAUUACGUUAUUUCAAUUGUCGUGGGGACGAAAAAUGAAUGUCAUGGGCUAAAAUUAGUAAUAAAAAAAAGAGGGAUAUACACAUUAUAUUAUUCGUAUGUUGCCAAGUUUAUCAAAGAAGAUGACAUACAAUAUUAUUUUCUUAGAGUAAUAAUUGAACAAUUUAAAUAUUUGUUAGAAGCAAAUAAAACCUAACAUUAAACAUAUUUGGAUAGAGACGAAUCAAUAUUCAGAUUUUCUAGGUCCCAACCACGAUAAUGAUUUGCUAAUCCAGGAGAAUGUACUAAAAUAAAUGAAAUUUCUUCUAGCUCAUAUGUGUUGUGUGACUUAAAAAGAAAUUAAGAUUUUUAUUUAGUUAUUUUCCAAAUAUAAAGAGUAAUUAUCCCCAAUUAACUGUUUUAUUUUCAGACCCACCAAAAAUUAUACGUUUUUUAGAACUUUUCUUGAGAUUUACUCAGUCUCAACUUAAAAUAUCCAAAAAAAAAAAAAAAAGUGUAUUUUUGGUUUACCGUGUGUUUAAGACUUCAAUUAAUUCAAAAGUCAAUUGCAAAUUAGACAAUUACUCAUAAAGCAUCUAUUGCCUUGGCUAAAGGUAAUAUUUUCUAAGCCUUACAUGACUUGGUAAAAUUAUGAUAUAAUUAGGUGGAGUAGAAAUUGGGGAACAAACUGAGUCAAUAAACAUGUAAAUUAUUGCAUACGAUCUUUAUACAAAUAUCAGGAUUUACUAUUUACUUUUUUUAAAAACCGAUAUACAUAAAUUACAUAUUGAUUAUAUAUAAUUAUACACAUAUUAUAUAUAAAUUAUAAAUAUAUUACACCCUUCUAAUACUUUUUAGACAGUUAUUUACAUUAAUUCUUCUUUUUUAAGGACAAAAAAGAAAGAGAACCCUUCUUCAUUUUUUCUUAAUUGGCAUCAUUAGUGCUUGUUUGGAAGGUAGAAUAACACUAAAAUCUCCAAAUGACCUAACUAGGAAAAGCACCAAAAUUGAAAAAUAAUGUGAUAGCACCAAAUGGAACUUAGUCUAUUGAGUGACAAUUAAUUGUGUGCAGAGGCAAAACCAAAAUUUUAAUUUUAUGAAUUCUGAAUUUUAUAAUUACGAUUUCAAGUGUUAAUAAAUGGGUUCCAAACUUAAUAUUUGUACAUGUUUAAUAAACUUCUUGAUACAAAUAUACUAUUUGAUAAAAAGUUAUUGAGUUCUAAAAGUUCGUACUCAGACUUCUAGCUCUGCCCUUGAUUGUGGGGCGAGUAGUUUGUUUUUUUCCACUAAAAACUUUCACAAUAUUGAAUUGACUAAUCCAAAAGAAAACAAAAAUUUCCAUAUUGGAUUUGCUUAGAGAAGAUGUCUUUUUCACUCUAUAAUGGUUGAGAAUUAGUUGACUUGCACCAAAAUAUGGAACCAAUCCUUUUAUUUCUGUUGGACCAUAAAUAUAUAAAUAAAUCUAGUAAUUGUAUUAGGCUGCUAAAUAUAAGUGUAAGUUUCUUUGUCUAGUUGAUUAGGUAUAAACAAACAACAUUAUCAAGAAGGAAAUAAACAAUAAUGUCAUUUUUCUAAGAACUGUUAGGCAGGUUGAUCACUUAACAUAACCAUUUGAUUAAAUUACUAGCCGUGGUUUAUUAAAUAGGAAAUAUUUUAAGAGUGUCAUAAAACAAAAUCUAUCUAAAUUUUAUUGCUAUCUCAUAAAUAAGAUUUGGUCUGAACAAUAUAAAGUUGGUCCUACAUUUUUCAUUUGGGCUAUUACAAAACUUAAAAGAGUAGGCAUUUCGCAAAAAAAAUGACCCAUUUUGAGGCUACUAUUUAAAUUAUGUCCAUGUUAGCUUAGUGGAUUAAAUUCAAUAAUUUGAAACUUAAGCCCACUGUGUUACAGAAAAAAUAAGGAAAAAUUACAGAAAUCCCACAUUUUAGUUUAUUUAUUACCAUUAUCCUCUAUAAGUUUUACAAAUCUCCAAAAUUCCUCAUUUUCGCGCAUUAGAUUAAUGUAUCUCGCGCAUCAGAUUAAUGUAUCAGCGCUUAUAUUAUUGUAUCAUUCAAUAAUUUGAAACUUAAGCCCACUGUGUUACAGAAAAAAUAAGGAAAAAUUACAGAAAUCCCACAUUUUAGUUUAUUUAUUACCAUUAUCCUCUAUAAGUUUUACAAAUCUCCAAAAUUCCUCAUUUUCGCGCAUUAGAUUAAUGUAUCUCGCGCAUCAGAUUAAUGUAUUAGCGCAUAUAUUAUUGUAUCUCGCGCAUCAGAUUAGUGUAUCAUGUAUAAAAUGUACAUCAUAUUAGUGUAUCAUGUAUAAAAUGUAAUGUAUCUUAUAAACUUUUAAAGGAUAGAUUGUAAUUUUGCCUUAAAAGUAUGUGAUUUCUGUAAUUUGCCCAAAAAAUAAAAAGUGGCCCUAAACAGGUCAUACUUUACGAUGAGGACAAAAAUUAAAAACAAAAAAAAUAAAAAAAUAAUUUAGUUCGUAAUAAACUUAUGUCGUUUUAGAACCCAUAAAGCUAUGCCUUAAUUCCUACAAAACUUUUUCCGGACAAAACAAAAUUUCUGUAAACUUAUGCCUUGUGAAUUAGAUAUUACACAAUUUAUAUCGAACAAGGUAACAGUUCUCUGAGUUUAUAUUUUUCGAAUUAGAUAGAUAUUACAUAAUUUAUGUCGGACAAAAAAGUUUCAUAAACUUUGGUCUUGCAAAAUUAGGUCAUAGUUUAAAUAUACUUUGACCCACAAUUUUUUGUUAAAAAAGAAGAAGAAAUAAGAACAAAAAUAAAAGACUAAUAAAUGGCACAACAUGACAACCUAUAGACUAAAUUGGCAAACAAUAGUCCAUUUUUAAUUUAUUGGCAAAAAAAAAGACUUUCUUUUAUUUAUUUGGCAUUCAAUAGUUAUUUUGUUUUUUCUUAAAAAAUGUAUUUUUGUUUUCCUUAUUUUUUCUCUAAACACGUUUGAUUGCUCCUUUUUUUCUUGAAAAGGUAAAAUUUAUUGUUUUAUUAUUAUAUUUUAUCUCUCCUUUUUGUUUGUCAACCGUUUUAAAAUAGACUUCUUCUCUUUUUUAUCUCCUUUAUUUUCUUUCUAGAAUUCUUUUUAUACGUAUAUUUGUUUCUCUCCCAAAUUUUCUAUUCUUCUCCUUAAUUCAUUUUGUUUAUGAAAAUCAGAUAUAACAAUAUAUUUAUUCAUGGAUACUUCUAAUAAGAAUCUUUUAUAUAUAAUUUUGUUCUUGUCCAAUUAAUUGUUGAAUUUCAUGAUUUGUGGAAUUGAAGUUUUUUUAAAUUUGUUUUUGCGAAAAUUUAGGUUAUUAAUCCUUUUUUUUAUUUUCAUUCUAAAAUCUGUUUCAUAUGUAUAUUUGUUGCUCUUCUAAUUUUUUUCUUAUUCUCCUUAAUUUACUUUGUUUAUGUUUAUCCAUUGGUCCUCCCAAAAUCUUCUUUUAAUAUAUAAUUAUGUAGUGUUUUUUUCCACUUAAUUUUGAAAUUUCGUGAUAUGUGAAAUUAAAAAAAAAUUAACUUUUUUUGGUAAAAAUUCAGGUUAUAGUAUUUGAAAUUUUUGUUUUCAAUUUCAUGAGUAAUAAAUGUUCUCAUAAGAUCCUCGUAAAAAAUUAGAAUGUUGAUUUCGAUGAAUACAAACCAAUGUAUACCAAUAAAUGUCAAUCUCAAUUUGAAUACAUGUAUAUAAAUUUAUUAGGUGAAUACAGACCAAUGAAUACAUAGAUGAAUACGAACCAAUGUAUACAUAGUGCAGUUACCGUAUACAUAACAAAAAUCACAUGUACAAUUUAUGAAUAAAAUUUAAUUUGUAUAUUUAUCAUAUUAACUUCAUUCUUGUAUUCAUUAUAGUUAUAACCUAUAAUUGUUGGUAAAAUUCUUAUGUAUACAUUAUAAGUUUAUGUAUACAUUCUACAGUUAUGGUAUACAUCAAUAAAAUUUACACGCCUAUUUUUAUGAAUGAUUUUUUGUGUUUACAUAUAGAUUUUUUUUUAUGUAUACAUUAUGUAAUUGCAACUUUAAUUAUUGUAUAAUUUUUGCAUACGUGUUGUUACAGUUUCUAAUAAAAAACAUUGCCUCUUAUAUUAUUUGAUUAAUUAUUGUCAAUUAUUUGAUAAUUAAUACACGUUAAUUGAGCACUAAUAAUAUUUUUUUUUACCUUAAAAGUAGUCGUCGUCUUUUGAUAAGUUAAUUAAAGAAUUUAAAAAAUCCUUCCAUAAAAGUUGAUAUAACCUUUUUUUUUUGGUAAUUAACUGUAUAUUUAUUAAUCACCAACUGGUAUUUACAGAACAUAACAAACUACAUCACAAUUUGUUAAUCAGAAAAAAACAAAACUCAAAGGAGAUACAACCUCACAUAAAGCUAAGUUGUUGCAACCUAGAACUAAUGGCCUUAGGAGCCCUCAUACAACACAUAUAAGCUACCUCUUUUGCAACGUGUUCAAGAUUUCUACAUUUGUCUUCAAAAAUUCUGUGGUUCCUUUCUAUCCACACUGCAUGACUACAUUCUACAUACAUUAGUCUGAAAAGUUGGCAGUCAGAUUGUUGCCUCUGGCUUUCUCUAUGAUCCAUUUCAAGUGUGUGUCCCAAGCAUCUAAAGUAUAGUCUGGCCAUUUGAUCCAUGCCAUCAACUUCCUCCAAAUAGCUCUUGUAAACUCACAACAAACAAACAGGUGAUCUCUAGUUUCAAGUCCAUUUUGACACAGCUUGCAUUGUUAAUUUAUAUCCAUCCCCAUGAAGCCAAUCUAUCACUAGUUGGUAGUUUGUUUUGUAAUUGGAGCCACAUAGUAACAAUGGCCUUUGGUCUUGCAAAAUUGGCAAAUAACCUUUUUUUUGGGUUAAUUAAUAAUAUUUUUUUUUCAUUUCUUAAAAGUAGGCAACCAUUUUUUAAUAAACUAAUUGCUAUCGGUUGAUAAAAUUUUUUUUAUAAAAUUACAAUCAAAUAUAUAUUUAUGUUGUUGUAAACUGUGUUUAAUAUUUUUUUUUGAAAAAUAGAGUGAUAAUAAAGUUGAGUUUGAGAAUUUAAAGAAACUGAAAAGCUAACUUUCUUAAUUAUAGGAGUUAAAAAUAAGGAAGAAAAAAUAAUCCCACAUCUCCUUAAUUAAUGUUGAUUGGUUGCACAUGGUUAAAAAAGAACUAUAAAAAGUUGUUAUAUUCCUUUUAGGCUAUUACGUGCUUCCUUUUUUUGGACUAUUAAUUGCUAAUUAAUAUUAGGCUAUAUGUUGCCAAUUGUAUAUAGUAAUUGUAUGUCUGUGUCAAUUCCUCAAAUUUAAAAUACAAAAAUUAAAAACAUUCAAUUAGACAAAAGGUUAGAUAGGCCUUGAAUGACCCAACCAUUUGCUUCUCCCAGAAACAUUUAAACAAGAGCAGGGGCAGGGCCCAAAACAAGUAAUUACAUGUUCUUACACCUAAUCAAUUAAUAUAAAAUAUGUAUUUUUCAUAUACAAAUUUAUAAUUUAAUUAUAAUUAACAAUAUAAAAUUUUAAACAACAACAUAUAAUAUUACUUCAAUUUUUAAUUAGCUAAGGUUAAAAUGAUUCAAACACGUGCAAGUAUAUACCAAACAAGUAGUAUUGAAAUAUACACUUAUUAUUGAAUUAUUAAAGGAACUUAAAUAGUACUGUUUGAUGUGAUUUAUUCAAUUAUUUAAAAGUUUAAAGGUGAUAAUUAAACUCAUGACUAAAUACUUUGAGGAUAUUUCCAGUUAAUGACCUGGAGUCUUCUGAGUAAGUUUCAUCAUAAUUAUAUUCCAAAGAGAAAAUACAUUUUUCUAGCUUGUCCCAUCAAUGAAAAGUUGAAUUGAAUUAGUCUAAUUGUAGACUAAUAUGAGGCCCAAUUAGAACAAGAUCCUCAGUCAACCAAACAAAUCUAGUUUUUUCACUUAGUUACAUUCAAAGUCCUCCUUUGUGAUGUGUUGAGUGAUUCAUUUGAAUUCUAAGCAAAUAGUAGCGGAGCUAAAAAUUUUAAUUUUAUAAAUUUUAAAUCAUAAAUAUGAAGUUCAAAUUAAAGUUACUGAAUUUUAUCGAACAUGUAUUCAUUAUUGUGGCUUCGCCUCGUCUACAAAACCACUCCCUAACUCCCAAUUUUUUAUUUAAUACUUUAAUAAAGUCAUUGUAUGAGCUGGCAUAAUUGUAAUAGUUUCAAUGCAAAUAAAUCUUUUCCAUGGAAAAUAUAGUGUAAAUGUCGACAGAAAAAAUGGGGGUGGACCAAACUUGGCCUUACCUAAGUAGUUGGCAUGGCAAUUAUGGUCCUUUUUCUUUGGACACAAGAUAAAGUAAAGUAAAAGAGACAAAGGAAGAAGACUAGGGCCGACUCAACAAGAUUGGGGCCUAAAGCCAAACUUUAAAGAGGGGCCUUAAUAUUUUUUUAAUUCUUUUUUUCAAAAAUAAUAAUAAUCAUGUAUAUAUCUAUUUAAAAUCUAUUUUUCUUGUUUUUUUAGAUGUGAAAUCAUUAAUUACUGUUUUCUAAUUGAUUUGUUUUAGUAAUUCCUUUUCAAUUGAUAAUAUAGCUAAUGCAUUCAAUCUCACAUUGUUGAUCUCAGAUAAGAUUUUAUCAAUUUUAGUUUCGAAAAACUUCUUCCGGCCGAGGCAAUAGUUACAGGAAUUGUUAACAUUAUUCUAUAAGCAAUAUACGCAUUAGGAAAAGAAUCAAGUCUUUUUAUUUGAUUGAGUAUUUUCAUUAAAUCAUAAUCUUCUACUUGUAUUAUUUCUCUUAAUAAUAACUAAAACGAGAAUAUAAAUACUUACUAACUAAGAAUAUUAACAAAAUCAAAAGUUCAAGAAAAAUAAUAAAAUAAAGUUAGAAUAAUAAAACCUGGCUCACAAAUUCGAUAAGUUGAUAUAAUAAUGUUGAAAUAGUGUUGUGUUCUUUCAAUAUAAUGAUUGCUUGUUGCACUUCUUAAGAUUUUGAAGAAGACACUCAAAAGCAAAUUUUGUUCUUUUUUAACUUGUAAGCAACAAUAAAUCAUUUUUUUAGGAGAGAGUUCAAUAUUGAGAAUAAAAAUAAUAAAAUGGAGAAUAAAAAAGAUGAGUAUAAGGUAAAUAAUAAUAUAAGGUCAAAUUUUUAGGAGAUAAAUAAGGAAACACAAUUUCCCACUUAAGGAAAUUAUUUUCAAAAAAUGUUUCAUUCCCUUAGAAAAGUGAGGAAAACUAACAACUAUUUUUUUUUCCUAUACUUCUUACAUUUUUUUUAAAAAAAAAUUUAAAAAUACAUAUAAUUUUAAGUAAUAUGUAUAAAUAUAUUUAUUUAAAUUGGGGCCCCAAAAAUAUGAGGCCCCAAGCGAUGGUUUUAGUGGCCUUAGUGAUUAAGACGGCCCUGAAGAAGACUAUGUGCUAACUUACGACUGUGAUGAAGUUAGAAAUUUAAAUAAGUUAUUUAAGAAAAAUAUAAAAAAAUAUCAUGAUUUAAAUUUAUGUCAAAAGAAAUAAAAAAAAAUUAUAUACACAUUUAUUCAAUUUUUUAAUACAAUAUAAUUUUUCGAUUAACAAAAUUUCAUCUGCUAAUUAAAAAGGUAGCUACAUACGUAACGUUCUUAACAUGACACAAGAUCAGAAAGCAAAUUUGCCAACUAUAAACCUGCCCUAUUUGUUUCUUUAUGUUCCCAUUUAGUUUUUGUAUACAGGAUAAUUCUAUAAAAUUGGAAUAUACGAUUAUAAUAUAGUAUACUUUAAUACAUUUUCUCAACAACUUUAAAAAGAAAACAUAUUAUAUAUAUUCAAACGUGUAAAAAUAUUAUGUAUGAAACUAAGCAACUUUACUGCGCACUCAAAUUCUUUAAUCUUCUGUUCAGUAUAUUAUAUAAUAUUCAACUUUUAAUAAAUAAAAAAUGUAGAGGAAAUUGCUGAGAACUUUACAGUAGCUAGGGUUCUUAAUAUCUCUCUCUUAGCUGUCAUGGAAAAUGUUAAAACUUUGAUUACUUUUAAAUUUACAAGAAAAAGUAAUAUAUAAGUGAUAAAAAAAGGAAAAAUAAAAAUUAACUUUCUUGUCAACUAACCCAUUCAGAUGAUUUAUUUAAAUAGUGUUAGCUUUUAUAUUCUAUUACGGUAACAAUAUUUUAUAUGCUACGAUGUUUCUUUUAUUUUAUUUAAUUAUCGUCUAAUAUUUAUAUAUACUGUUUAUGUACGUAUUUUUCUUUUAUCAUAAUUUUUACUCUUGCAUUUUUCCCCUUCACUUCUAAAAAAUGAUUUCGCAGGGUCUAUCGAAAACAAGCUCCUAUCCUACAAAGGCAAUGGUAAUUAGGAUAUGUGUCCCAACUUAAAAAUCACUAUUUUCCUAUUGAAAUUUGAAUAUUUUUUUUAUUGAAUUAAUGAGAAAAGGAAAAACAGUAGUGUUUUCACAUGGAAAAAUUAGAAAGCUUUCCAGUAUCUCAAUGAUAAUCUGUUUUCCAUUAUGUGUUUUCCUAGUGAUCUGGUUCAUGAGAAAUGAGUGGAAAAUUUAUAUUUUAUAACAUAAACUUCUCACUUAUUUGUGGUGGGAGAAAAUCUCUAUUUCUAGUAGUACGUGUAUACCCAACCCUCUGUCUUAACUUUAUUUGUGAAAUUAUACUGAAUAUGUUACCGUUGUUUUUAUUAUUGCAGUGGUAGCUUUUAUAAUUAGGAUGAAGUUUCUUGGAGAGAUCUUUUUGACACAUUCACCAGCAUGAUAACAGCCUAGCAACAGUACAUACAAGCUAAGUUUGGACUUUGGUGUUAUGUGAGGAAUAUUGUGUCUCAUCAUUAACCUCAUAUAUAACAAAAAUGUAUUCUACUAAUUUACUGAUCUGAACGACAUAACAACAAAUGCAUAAGAUCUCUAUAAUGAUCUGGCUAAUUAAUUUUUGGGUUAAGUACAAUGAUUUGCCAGUGUUUUUUUUCCAUUUUUCUACUGCUACUUGCAUGUGUCUAGCUAGCUAGCUCCAUUGUGUACUGUAAUUUAGAGGUGGCAAAAUCAGUGGAUUAAUUAAAUUCUUAAUUAUAAAAGGGACACGUCUCGUAAUUAAUAUUUAUUUUUCUACUAUAAAUAAAUAUUGGAGUUCAUUUCGAAUAACUAGAUGCAUGAAUUGAGUAGUUUAAGAGGUCAAAUUUCCCCAACAUACAUGCAUUGAUAUCGAAAACAAAUUACGUAAAACUUUAAAUUUAGAAACUGUGUGCAGCUGUACUUUAUGGGCUCGAGAAAGAAAUUAAAAAAAAGGUUGAAUGGAGAGAUUUGAUUUUGUGAUCUUUUAGUUUACUUUUUUGCGAGAGAUUUUUAUUUUUAUACGAGAUCUAAACAAAUAUUUUCUAUUUAAUUUGUAAGUGAUCCUCGAUCGAACCGUAGCACUAGUUGUAACAAAGCUCAAGUGUAGACGUAGUUCAUUUUUUUCUUUUAUCAAGAGGAUUAAAAAAAAUAGGUGGACUAGCUAGCUAGUUGUUCGCUGAUUUUAGUACACGAGAAUUUUGAAAUGACUAAUAUUUCUCACAUGGAUAGGCUAUAUUAUAUGGUAGUGAAUGCAUGCUGGUUUGUUAAAGUCCAAUAAAUAUAUUAUAAUACGAGUGUUGUGAAGAUGCUAAAAUGAAUGUGUGGAUAUAUUAAGUUAGAUAAAUAUUAAAAAUGAUUAUAUUCGUAGAAGGUUUAAGUGUAGCUCGUACACAUUGAGGAUAAAAUGUGAGAAGGUCGUUGGAGAUGAUUUGGACAUAUUUUUUAUCAAUCUAUCGAGGUAUCGAUCCGUAAGUAUAAAACUAUUGUACUAAGUGAAGAUGCUGAAAAUUGGGGAUGGGAUAGUCGAUAAACCUAAAAUUACAUAGAAGGAAAUAGUGUUAAAAGACCUGGAAUUGUGUGGUAUCAAUAUAUACUUAACUAAAAAUAAGAUACAAUGAAUUAAAGAAAAUUUUCAUCGUGAUCGCGAUUAUUAUUGUGAAACUUUAAUUCAAUGUAUCUUAUUUAAAUAAUCUAUAUAGCUAGGGAAUUGCUUUUAACAUACUUUUAUUAUUAAUGAUGAUAAUAAUAUGAUACCUGCUUAAAUAUCGAAAUAAGAAUUUAACCGAUCCUAAUUUAUUUGAGACGAUCAAGACAUAGUUGUUGUAAUAGUUUCCCACAUGAUCACUAGUACAUCAAAAUCAUUUCUCUUUUGCUUCGCAAAUACACGAACAAGAAACAUCUCGUUUAGAUGAAAAAUAAGACUUUUUUUUUUCAUUUACUUGGUGAAGUUACAAAUUAUCGUAGCACACCAAUGAAUUCCAAUAGUAUCAUACAUAUGUAUACUUCAUAUAUAUUUUUCUUAAUUUUAUGUAAUUAAUCUACCUAGCUAAACUAAAAUAAAAAAUACAACAGAUCUCAUAAAAAAAUAUAAAAAUAUCAUGCUGCAGUAAUUCUAAAUCUUGUUAUUACCCUUUCUCUCAUUGUUCUUGAAUGUGUCAAUACUUCAUGAUCCUUUCUAUUUCUCUUAGGAUUUAAUAAUUUUGUCAAAAAUCCUUCUUUUUUCUUCUUCUUCUUCCCAAUACUAUUAUUAUCUUCCAAUAUAAUUCCACCUUCUUUUCUUCUCAUAAUCAAAGCCAAUGAUCUACUUUUCAUGAGCACAUUAGUGUUUGGAGAUGAACAUGAGGACACGUCUGAAGACGAUGACAAAGAAGAUAAGGAAGAAGAAGAAGAACAUGAAGAAGUAAUAGUUGUCGUGUUACUUCUUGAUGUUUUUGAAAGCAGAGAGAGUUUUUCACUAAGACAGACAGAACAAACCCCGGGAUUUUGCUUGUGCUUAGGAUGCUUCUUGCAUAAUAUAAUAGAAUUCGAUUUUGAUUUGCUUUUGUUGAUUUGCAUUUGAUUAUCUCUAAAGUUCUUGAAAAAUCUCCUUCUAUUAUUUUCCAUUUUUUUUAGUUAGAUGUUCUUCGAAAUGAAGGGGGUGUGUGGGUAUUUAUAAUAAUGUUAAAUAGAAUGAGAAAGGUUGGCAAAUGAGGCUUCUAUGAUAUUUCAUGUGAGGUUCGUAAUGAGGUUCAUUAAAUGACUUUUUUGACC
rnacentral:lncRNA from 1 species